UCCAAUUCAGCGAAAAUUGCUAGCUCAGAAUCCAAGAAGGAACAGAACAGGGAACACAUGGAUGAAAUUGGAUGUAGAAUUCAUGUUCUGGCCAUCCCUUUCCCUCUACAAGGCCACCUCAAUCCGAUGCUGCAAUUAUGCAAGCGUUUAACCUCAAAGGGUGUUAAAAUCACGCUAGUCACUAGCACUUCAGCACGUAUAUCAGUGCAAAAUCAGUUUGAAUCGAUCCAGAUCGAGUAUAUUCUAGACGAUGAUAACAUUGAAGCUGAGGGAUCAAACGAUUUGGAGAAAGCCGCUGCCUUCUUGAAAUGGAUUAAAAUCGCAGUUUCAGAUAAUUUGGCCAAGCUAGUCAAGGAAAAGGCGAGUUCUGGUCAUCCUGUGAAUAUAGUUCUGUAUGAUUCAAUGAUGCCAUGGAUUUUGGAGAUAGUGCAGGGACAACUAGGCCUCAAAGGGGCUGCGUUUUUCACUCAGGCUUGCGCUGUUUCUGCAAUAUUCGACCAUAUUCAUCGAGGAACGUUGAAAGUUCCUCUAGAGACAUCUACCAUAUUGCUUCCUUCAAUGCCACAACUGGAGUCGAAUGAUCUGCCUUCUUUCGUUUCUAAUCCAGGUCCGUACCCAGGUGUUUUGGAUGUUGUCCUCAGUCAGAAUAUAAACCUGGAGAAAUCAGAUUGGCUCUUGUUCAACUCUUUUAACAAGCUAGAAAAUGAGGUAGAGUUCUCAUUCCAUAAAUAAUUGGAAUUUGGAAGUUCACCCAUUAGCAACAUUUUAUUUGACGCUGUUUAAAUUAAAUUACAUAUUGGCAAUACUUUUUGAAUCAUUGUUAGUGUCAGUUAAGUUCAUCCUUGGAAUUUGAUCAUUGGUAGACCACAAGAUCUGUUUAUUUUGUUCAUAGCAAAAAUCACAUUGUACAACUUCUAGUUAGUUAUUGCUAAUAAAAAAUAAAGUUAGUAAAUUAAGAAACAAACGACUUAUAUCAACUGUUUCGAAAAUUAGACCGGACCAAAUCAGCUGGUUUGAAUAGCUAAACCGCAAACCGAUAUUGGCACUGGUUAGGUUUUCUAUUAAACUAGAAAAAGUAAGUAAACUGGUCAAUUUGGAUCAAGAAAUGGUUAAACCAGUCAAAACUAGAUGGUUGAACUAGUUUCCUCCUUUUUUUCAUUUUAAUCUUUGAUACAUUUCAAUACAAUAGGCAUAGAUAAUCUUUUCAUAAAUUCAUGCUUCAAUUUUUUUAAUUGUCUUUUUGGGGGUGGGCUUGAUUAAAAUUUGCUGUUUGGGAAAUAUUACAAUGUUGUUGCUUAAUCUCAACUAGGUAGUGACCUGGUUGACAGAACGGUAUCCAAUCAAGACCAUAGGCCCUUCUACUCCAUCCAUGUACACCGACAAGCGAUUGAAAGAUGACAAAGAUUACACCGUCAAUUUCUUCACACCAGAUUCCGAAGAAUGCCUAAAAUGGCUUGACACCAAGGAAACAGGCUCAGUUGUUUAUGUAUCCUUCGGUAGUGUCUCGGACCUUGGAGAAAAUCAAAUGCAGGAAAUAGCUUGCGGCCUGAUGAAUAGCAAUUGCAACUUCUUAUGGGUAGUUCGACCUUCUGAAGAGAGCAAAAUUCCUAGAGAUUUCAUGUCCGAGGCACAAGACAGAGGUCUAAUCGUGAAUUGGUGCCCUCAGAUAAAGGUUUUGUCACACAGGGCAGUGGGAUGCUUCAUGAGUCAUUGUGGUUGGAAUUCAACAAUUGAAGCAUUGAGCUUGGGUGUGCCAAUGGUGACCAUGCCAGUGUGGGUUGAUCAACCUACAAAUUCUAAGUAUAUUGUGGAUGUAUGGAAGGUAGGAUUGCGAGUUAAGGCGAGCGAGGAAAGGGAAAUGGUAACAAGAGAAGAAGUAGAAGGAACUAUAAGAGAAGUUAUGCAUGGGGAGAAGGCAAGUGAGCUUAGAAACAAUGCUUUGAGGUGGAAGGAGUUGGCUAAGGAGGCAAUUAGUGAAGGAGGAAGCUCAGACAAACACAUUGAAGAAUUUGUUUCGAGUCUUGAAAGCACUUAGUUAAAUUAAUAUCCAAUUUUCUUCACACAGUUUUCAAAUUUUAAUGAUCUGUUGUUAAUUUGAAAUUGCAAAUAACAGUCAACGUAUGCAUAGAUUAUCCUAAUUGACACUUCAAUUAGUAUUAACCUAUCGAUUGAAGUACUAAUGUAACUUUAAUUUAGAACUUCAAAUUCUUGGGACCUAAACCUUGAGUUGACACAUAAUUUACAAUCUCAGAAGCAAUAGUUGUAUGUGAGGCAAUUUUCUUAUUUCAAUAGUUAAGUGCAUGAGUUGGUGUGUGUGGAUCGAAAUUACUAUUUGAAUAGACAAGUCUCUAUAUUCAUAUGUUAUGUUAUUUUCUUAUUGAAUUUAGUUGAACUCGUGAAACAUAAGUCUUCAGAAGUAAUAACAAAACCAAGCUCCACUCCAGAAGCUUCGACCACAAUUGCUAAAACUCAAAACCUGCAGAAGGUGCUCAACCACCAACCAAGAAGCACCGUACCUAGAGACUGCUACCUUAGCUAUUUACCUACUUACAUUUUAGGACUACGACUUUAUUUAUCUAUCUAUGUGAAUAAUAUGAGGUUGAAUAGUAAAAUUAUGCAGCAUCAACCUUCAAUUUGAACUACAACUAUGUCUAUUAUCCCUUCACUAUGGUUGCAUAAGCUUUGAUAAUUCUCUCAACUGAUUAUCUACUAUAAUAGUAUGCAAUAUUUUAUAUACACAUGGUAUGACAUUUUUGGCUACCAUUAAUAGUAUGCCUUGCCCAAUUGUCCAACAUUACCAAAUUAUUUAACAACAUCACAGGUAUAAAUUGCCAUUCUUUGCAUGGGUCUUCUCCCUAGUAAUUAGAAUAAUAAAAACCAAGAUCACAAUAAUGUUUGUACUUACAUUCCAAAGUACCAAGACUCAUGGUACUUUUUAUAUAGUAAUGAUAAUGUUAAUGGUAAUACUAAUCUUCGUUUGUGACAUUAAGCAUUACAAAGUUGAUCAUGAUUAUAGUUAAUUGUAGGACUUUAAAAAUUAGAGUUUGGUCUGGGGGCUAAUCAGCCUAAUCAAUGAUUUUAGUUAGGCCAAUAGAUAAUGGAGAUGCAAGUCACUUUCCUGAGUAGGUUGAAAUGCGCCUAAUCAAAGAAUUUUCCAUGUGUACAAACUCAUAGUACGCGCCAAAAUAUAAAAAAAGUUAACAAGCUUGUCGGUUUUGUACAUGUAUUCGCAACAUACUGAAGCAUCUGACUUAAUUUGUCUAGAUUCCCGACUCUUGGCAUUGUUACUCGUGAAACAGCACUUUGGCCAAAACCAUGGUCACGUCAACGGGUGGAAAGUUCCCUUUUCUGCCCACAGUAGGCAGAAGCAAAUGCGGAGGCCAACUGUGUUCUCCGGGGUUGGCACCAGAGAGAGUCAGGUUGUGCGUGGAUAAAAUAAUGCAAUACAUUUUAAAAUUACAAUAAAAACUUUUUAAAAAUUUGUUCAUCAUCUAAUGCCAAAGCAAAUAUUGUGGUAGGUUUUCGUUUUUAAUUGAGUUUGAUAUUUAAAAUAAUUGAAUCAUAAAUAUAAAAGGAAGAGUUGGAAACUUAGACAUGAUUAAAAUAAAAGGAGAUGUGGAAUUUUGGUCUAGGGGUGAGCAAUUACGGUAAAUACCGAUUUACCGACCGAAAUCGAUUUCAAUUUGGUAAUUCGGUAAUUCGGUCGGUAAAUCGGGGAUAUAGUACUAGUUAAAAUCGAAUUAGGUUCGAAAACGGUUUUAUAGUUUUUGAAUUCGGAUAUACCGAAUUCGAAUUAAUUUCGGAAUUCGAGAAAGGUGGGAUUAAGGUGAAUGGGAAGAUGCAAUCGAGCAACACUUCAGUCUAUGCAGUUGGGGAUGUUGCCGCUUUUCCAGUAAAAAUGUUUGCUGAAACACGCAGACUUGAGCAUGUAGAUUCUGCGAGGAAGUCAGCAAGGCAUGCUGUUGCUGCUAUCAUGGAGCCAGAAAAGACGGGUGAAUUCGACUACCUGCCAUUCUUCUACUCCCGCGUCUUCACAUUGUCUUGGCAGUUUUAUGGAGACAACGCAGGGGAAGUAAUUCAUUUUGGGGAUUUCUCGGGAAAGACUUUUGGGGCUUAUUGGAUUAAUAAGGGUCAUCUUGUUGGUUCUUUUCUGGAGGGUGGAACCAAAGAGCAGUACGAAGCUAUAGCCAAGGCCACGAGGCUUAAACCGGCAAUUGAAGACCUGGGUGAGCUUGAGAGGCAGGGACUGGGAUUUGCUUUGACAGCAAGCCAGAAACCAUCAUCAUCAUCACCUCCUCUUGUUGCUGGCAGUUCUAAUCUCGUCAUCGAGAAACCAUUACACGCUUGGUACGCAACUGCGGGUGUGAUUGUGGCUGCAUCAGUAGCAACCUUUGCAUACUGGUAUGGCAGGAGGCGACGAAGCAAAACAGGCUGCGAUUGCUUCAGGAAUUCGGACAAUUCGGUCAAUUUGUGUUUACCGAAUUCAAUCCGAAUUGAAUUCGAAUUCGAAAUUUGGUAAUUCGAAUACGAAUUAGGUCGAAAUAUCUCAACACCAUUUACCGAAAAUUACCGAUUUCAACCUACCGAAUUACCGAAUUCGAAUUCGAUGCUCACCCCUAUUUUGGUCCCCCAAUAUUUGGUCUAUGAGUUAAACUAGUCCCUGAUAUUUCGACCAAAAUAAAUAUGGUCCCAAAAGUUUUGACAACUAAUAGAAAAUUAGAAUAUCUAAUGGUCAAAAUCAAAUUAGAAUUAGUCAAAAGUUUUGAUUUUGUAGUUUUUGGUCCCUAAUAUUUGAAAAUUUAUUCAAUAUGGUCCCUUAUGUUUUAGAUAAUUAUAUUUCAAAUGAAAUAAAAUGUGACUUAGAUUAAAUGCAUGAAAAAAUGUGUUCUCAAAUCUCAUAAAAACCCUUAAAUUACUUCACAUUGUGAAUAUACUAUCAUUUAGCCUAAAGAGCAUCUGUUCGUUAAAUUAAUUACAAACAAAUGACAACACAUGAAUCAUAUAUAAAAGAAAAAUUAGUGGAAAAAAGAGAAUUUUAAUUUGAGGAUAUAGUAACUUUAAUUCUAAACAAUAUAACUCAAAUUGUUACAUGACUUGUGGAUCUAAGUUUCAAUCAAUUAUGGUUAGGCAUUGUGAUUUCAUUAACAAGUAAAGGUGAUUACUAAUAUGAAUGACUCAUGUGAAUUGUAAAAAUAUUUCUUGCUGUUUCUUCUUGUCUUUCCUUCAUAUUAAAUCAAAUAUUUCAAUAACACAAUUCAAUGUAUUAUAUUUACAUUCAUCUGACAUUGAUAAUUUUAUUGAAUAAUUUAAACAAUUAUAAAAUCUUUAUUUCAAUUGAAACUUAAUUGACAACUAGUUGAAAUGCCAAAAAAAAAAAGAAAACGAAAAAUAUUAUUCAAUCAACUCAACACCUAUAGUUGUUGAUAUUAUAAUAGGAUAUGUAAUUAACUGUUUUCAUUUAUCAAAUAUAAGUAUUGGGCAUUAGAUGAUGAACAAAUUUUUGAGAGGGCGUUUGUUGUGAUUUCAAAAUGUAUUGCAUUAUUUCAUCCACGCACAACCAGCUUUCUCCUAUACCUGAUGCAUCUUUUUGCUGUCCGUCUUUGUGCAUCCCCACAGAACACACAGUUGGCCUCCUUGCAUUGCCUUUUCUCAAAAAUCAUUAAAAAUGUUUUUGGCCAGGCAUUAUAAUAUCGAUCCGAGAAAUUGAAGGCAAAGACACUUUUUGGAACUCCAACCUCAAUUUCUUUAUAAAACCCAAGCAGGAACAGAACAGGGAACACAUGGAUGAAAUUGGAUGUAGAAUUCAUGUUCUGGCCAUCCCAUCCCCACUCCAAGGCCACCUCAAUCCGAUGCUGCAAUUAUGCAAGCGUUUAACCUCGAAGGGUGUUAGAAUCACGCUAGUCACAAGCACCUCAGCACGUUUAUCGGUGCAAAAUCAGUUUGAAUCGAUCCAGAUCGAGUAUAUUCUAGACGAUGAUAACAUUGAAGCUGAGGGGUCAAAAUAUUCAGAGAAAACUACUGCCUUCUUGAAACGUUUUAAUACCGCAGUUUCAGACAAUUUGGCCAAGCUAGUCAAGGAAAAGGCGAGUUCUGGUCAUCCCGUGAAAACAGUUCUGUAUGAUUCAAUGAUGCCAUGGAUUUUGGAGAUAGUGCAGGGACAGCUAGGCCUUAAAGGGGCUGCGUUUUUCACUCAGGCUUGCGCUGUUUGCGCAAUAUUCAAUCAUAUUCAUCGAGGAACGUUGAAAGUUCCUCUAGAGACAUCUACCAUAUUGCUUCCUUCAAUGCCACAACUGGAGUCGGAUGAUCUGCCGUCUUUUGUUUAUAACCCUAGUCCAUACCCGGGUCAUUUGGAUGUUGUCCUCAGUCAGAAUAUAAACCUCGAGAAAUCAGAUUGGCUCUUGUUCAAUUCUUUUGACAAGCUAGAAAAUGAGGUAGAUUUCUCAUUCCAUAAAUAAUUGGAAUUUGGAAGUUCACCCAUUAGCAACAUUUUAUUUGACGCUGUUUAAAUUAAAUUACAUAUUGGCAAUACUUUUUGAAUCAUUGUUAGUGUCAGUUAAGUUCAUCCUUGGAAUUUGAUCAUUGGUAGACCAUAAGAUCUGUUUAUUUUGUUCAUAGCAAAAAUCACAUUGUACAAUUUCUAGUUAGUUAUUGCUAAUAAAAAAUAAAGUUAAUAAUUAAGAAACAAACGGCUUAUGUCAACUGUUUCGAAAAUCAGACCGGACCAAACCGGCUGUUUGAAUGGCUAAACUGCGAACCGAUAUUGGCACUGGUUAGGUUUUUUAUUAAACUAGAACAGGUAAGUGAACUGGUCAAUUCGGAUCAAGAAAUGGUUAAACCAGUCAAAACCAGAUGGUUGAACUAGUUUCCUCCUUUUUUUAAUUUUAUAUAUUUUGACGUUAUCCAAAUUACUUAGUACUAAAAUAAUUAAAAAAUAAUUAGAUGUUUAACCCAGGAUUGAUCAGGGUCCUCAUUCGGAUCACUCACAGAUCCGAGCUUAAAAGCAUAGCUCAUAUUAGGUAAGUCUACAUGUUAAUCUUUCAUACAUUUCAAUACAAUUGGCAUAGAUAAUCUUUUCAUAAAUUCAUGCUUCAAUUUUCUUAAUUGUCUUUUGGGGUCGGGACCUGAUUGAAUUUUGCUGUUUGGGAAAUAUUACAAUCUUUUUGCUUAAUCUCAACUAGGUAGUGACCUGGUUGACAGAACGGUAUCCAAUCAAGACCAUAGGCCCUUGUACUCCAUCCAUGUACACUGACAAGCGAUUGAAAGAUGACAAAGAUUACACCAUCAAUUUCUUCGCACCAGAUUCAGAAGCUUGCCUAAAAUGGCUUGACACCAAGGAAACAGGCUCAGUUGUUUAUGUAUCCUUCGGUAGUGUCUCAGACCUUGGAGAAAAUCAAAUGCAGGAAAUAGCAUGCGGCCUGAUGAAUAGCAACUGCAACUUCUUAUGGGUAGUUCGACCUUCUGAAGAGAGCAAAAUUCCUAGAGGUUUCAUGUCCGAGGCACAAGAAAGAGGUCUAAUCGUGAAUUGGUGCCCUCAAAUAAAGGUUUUGUCGCACAGGGCGGUGGGAUGCUUCAUGAGUCAUUGUGGUUGGAAUUCAACAAUUGAAGCAUUGAGCUUGGGUGUGCCAAUGGUGACCAUGCCAGUGUGGGUUGAUCAACCUACAAAUUCUAAGUAUAUUGUGGAUGUAUGGAAGGUAGGAUUGCGAGUUAAGGCGAGUGAGGAAAGGGAAAUGGUAACAAGAGAAGAAGUAGAAGGAACUAUAAGAGAAGUUAUGCAUGGGGAGAAGGCAAGUGAGCUUAGAAACAAUGCUUUGAGGUGGAAGGAGUUGGCUAAGGAGGCAAUUAGUGAAGGAGGAAGCUCAGACAAACACAUUGAAGAAUUUGUUUCCAGUCUUGAAAGCAUUUAGUUAUAUUAAUAUCCAAUUUUCUUCACACAUCUUUCAAAUUUUAAUGAUCUGUUCUUAAUUUGAGAUUGCAAAUAACAGUCAACGUAUGCAUAGAUUAACCUAAUUGACACUUCAAUUAGUAUUUACCUAUCCAUAGAACUACUAACGUAACUUUAAUUUAGAACCUAAAAUUCUUGGGACCUAAACCUUGGGCAGACACACAAUUUACAACCUUAGAAGCAAUAGUCAUACCAAAUUCCUUUGAAAUUCUUGAUUUUUGAUUUUCUCAAAAACAUGUUAGUAGGAAAAUUCAUGCAGUGAAAGUAGCAUUAUAAUUUUACAAAUAAUAGAUAAUAAUAAAGGCAUAAGAGGAAACAAAAUAUUCUGUUUUAAGUCACUAAUUUCCCUCAACUACAAACUUGGGACUCCAAAUCUUUAAAUAGAAAAAUAUAACCACAAAUCCUAUUGUAAUUAUAGUAUCAAAAUGUGAUUUAACCUAUUUCCUAAAUCAAAUUUGACACCAAUUCUAAUCUAGUUACCAAAUAAAAAUAUAUAAUUCUAAAACUACUAAACUUCUAAAUAUGCUUGGUUUAAGGGAGGCAUUAACCAAGCAUAGUUAGAAGUCUAGUUGUUUUGGAGAUCGUGGAUUUAUAGUAUUUUUUAUAUUUUUAAAAUAAUUUAAAACAGUGAACCAGUGACUCAGCCAAUCGAACCAAUUGAACCGAUAAAACUAGGAAUUAGCUGCUUAAAUAGGUUAGUUAUGGGUCUGAGUUCAAAAACAUUGGGUGGAUCCGAUGCUGAUUUUUGUCGUUGCAGUUACUUGAAUGGAUCCGAUACUAGAUUCAAUUUAAAGUACAAAAUGAUCUGGAUCGAAUACUUGCUAAUGAUAAUAAAUAUUUAAAGGACAAAUUACACUUUACCUCCUGUGAUUUAGUGUUUUUUCAUAUAACCCCCUAUGGUUUCAAAAGCUAUACAUAAUCUUCUUAUGGUUUGGAUUAAAGUGUCAAAGUGACGGAAAUAAUCAUUUAUAAUAGAGUCACCUUAAAUUUAAAAAGUGCCCUAAUGUAAAGUUGAAAAUUAUUUAUUAACCAAAGGGGGUUAUGUUUAUAUUUUGAAAACAAUAAGGAGAUUAUAUGGUAAAGCAUUAAACCAUAUAGGGGUUAUAUAGUAAAACAUAAAAAUCAUACGGGGUUAGCGUGUCAUGUAUUUAUAAGGGUAAUUUCAACAUUUUUAAAAGUUUCGUUAUAAAUGACUAUUUCUGUCAUUUUUGACACUUUAAUCCAAACCAUGAGGGGGUUAUAUAGAAAAAUAUUAAAUUACAGGGGGAUAAAGUGUAAUUUGCCCAUAUUUAAAUGUGUUUCUACAUCUUUUCAUAUAUAAAAAAUAAUUACUUUGCAACCAAGUUGUGUCUUAACAUGACACUGUAUCUGAUCAUUAUUGCUUAUUGAGUAAACUUUUCUAUCAUAAAUAACAAUUAGUCUAACUUUUGCAUUUCAUAAUUCUUUGUGAAAAAAUUAGAUUUUGUUGUCUCUUUUUUCUCUCUUCUUGUUACAUUGUAGAGGCAUAUUCCAUAAUUCAAAAGCAAACUACUAAGCGUAGUAAAAGUAAUAAAAACCUUAACGACAUAGUUCUAAACAUGCUGGCUCAAGAUCAUCGUGAGCCCCCACUGUCAUUGUGUUAAACUUUGUAUUACAAGUUUUUUGUACUUUUGUGUACCCUAUUCAUCAAUAAAAACUACAAAAAGAACAUGCUGAUUCGUCAUUCAAAUAGUAAUGCAAUUGGAGUUGGACGGCAGAUGGAUAACAAUGCCACCAGAAGCAAUAUUUAAUGUUAUCAUUGUCUUUAUUUUAGCCCAAUAUCUAUCAUUGCACUGCAAAUGUGUAAUUCUGUUGAAAUCAUUAUACGGAAUGCGUUGAAUUUGGUAUUACAACCUUUUUUGUACUUUUGCGUACCACAUUCAUCAACAAAACCACAAAUAAAUGUGCCCAUGUAGUCAGGUGCCUACUCUUCCAAUUUCCUUUGAUAUCUAGACCAGAUUUGAAGAAAACGAAAUAUAUAUUUUUCUUAAACAUCUAGCAAGCAUAAUCAGAUCACUUUCAAGGUUCUGAUAAUUUUUUUCCUUUGGAACAAAUUCAAGACCGCAUUACAAUGGCCAUGUAUUUGUCGCUAGCAACUCUAUCUGCCAGAGGAAAAUGCAAGUAUUCUGGCUAUUGAUGUAGAAAGCUGGUUUUCCUUUCCUCUCAUACUUUUCUUCUCCACAACAUUCUUCAAAUACUUAUUCAAUUUAGCAUAAAUUGCUGGCUCAGAAUCCCUGUAAAGAAAAAAUCAAAACAGAAGCACUGAAACAUGGAUGAAAUGGAAGUAAGAUUCAUGUUCUAGCCAUCCCUUCACCACUAAUCCGAUGCUGCAAUUAUGCAAGCGCUUAACCUCAAAGGGUGUCAUGGUCACACUUGUCACUGGCACCUCAGCAAGUAUGUCUGUGCAAAAGCAAUUUGACUCAAUCAGAUCGAUUAUAUCCUAGACGAUGAUAACAUUGAAGUUGAGGCACCAAACACAACAGAGAGAGUUUUUGCUUUCGUGAGGCACUUCAAUAUGGCACUUUCAAGUAAUCUAAGCAAAGCUAGUAGAGGAAAAUGCGAGUUCUAGUCAUCCUGUGAAAGUAGUCCUGUAUGAUUCACUGAUGUCAUGGACUUUGAUUCCUUACAAAAAUGUUAAAGUCUUUCUAGAUGACCCUUUACAAUACUAAUCUUUGUUUGUUGUAUCAUCCAUUAUAAACUUGAGGAUGCAUUUACAAAUUAUAUAUAGAUUGGGUUUUGGUCCCAAUCAGUAAUUUAUUUAAAUCAUUUCUAGAUGAACCUUUAUAAUAUUGAUCUUAGUUUGCUACAUUAUGCAUUAAACAAUUGAUUUGGUUUGGGGCCUAAACGCUGACUUAAUCAGGCCAAUAGAUAAUGGAGAUGCAAUCCCACAUUAUUGAGGAGGUUAAAAAUGCACCUAAUCACAGAAGUUUCUGUGUACAAAUUUAUCAUACACGCCAACAAGAAAUAACAUUUACAAGAUUGUCGGUUUUGGAUAUGUUUUCCUAGUGAUAAGUGCUAAUUUUGUGAUCUUUUUGAAUGUGUUUCACAUUGUUUUGGAGUUAAUUUGUAGGAUUAAUUGGUAUAAAUUGUCCAUUUUAUGUCACUAAUUUGCACCUUAAGUUGAUAAAUGAAUUACUUGUGAUUUUUAUCAUUCUACUUGCAAAACCUCUUUGUUUUUGAAGAUAAAAUGAUCAAGUUUAAUUGGAAGUGAAAUGAGCAAGGAUGAGAACCUUGAGAAGUUACAACAAAUGCUAAAAGAAGUGGUGCAAAAGAAAAGAAAAAAAAUGGAGAGAAGAGAAACCCUUGAGGAAACCGCAUGCAAUUUCUCCUGUGGUUUUUGUCUAGAAUGUCAUUUUGCAGAUGCUCUGCACAAUCCUUAGGAGAAUCCCUCCAGAGAUUCAUCUGAGGGAUCCGUGAUGGCUGCAAGUUGCCAACUUGCACGGCUUCUCUUUCUUUUUUUUUCCUUUUUUGAACAAGACACAAAAGGACAUUUUGUGCUAACUUUUGGAGGAUCUAGGAGCUUCUAUUGUUGGCUCUUAACAACCAAAAAACACAUUAUUGAAUAGAGAGAUUGGCUCUUGAAGACCAAGAAUACAUACUACAUAGUUCUUCUAGCUUAAGAGUAGUUAGUUCAAGUUAGUUUGAGAGAAGAGAGAGAGUUUGGAGAAAGAAGAAGAACAACCAAAAGGGUUGCGUCUUGCCCUUUUAGGCGAGACACAAGCCCUUAAUAAAUGUAACUCUCUUUAUUUUCUCUUGAUUUAGUGUAGGUUAGUGUAGUAUUGUAAGUUAGUUGUGAUGUAUCUAUGUUUGUAUUGACUCAACAAGAAGGUCAGGGGAGAUGAAGAAGGAGAGGUCCAAGAAGCUCUAGUGACAAGGGUUCUCUUUUUUCCAUAUCUUUAUCUUUGCAUUGAACUCCAAGUUUGUUAAUACAAGAUUUGGAUUUUGUGUUUAUGAUGUUAUUUUAAAGUAUAUGCCUUGAGUAUUUGGUUGAACUUUCUAUGAUUGUUUGGUGUUGAUUUCUUGGUUGGUUGAUGCUAUUAUCUUGAUUGAGUUUUUUAGCACUUUUGCUCUUAUAAUCAGGAUUAACUGGCUAUUGAUUAUGAUUAUGUAAAGGUGUUAGAUUUGCAAUGAGAAUUGAAAUUUGACAAUAGUUCAUAGAAGUGUUAAACUUAGGAAGUACACUCACGAAAGUAGAGAUAUACCUUUGUGGCUUUGUUCUAUGUAAUUUCAUAGAAAUUAAUGAACUUGUCAUUAUGAUCAUAGUUAAUUUCAUAGAAAUUAAGUAGCAAUUGAUUAUGAAUGCCUAAAGGUAUUAGAUUUGCAAUGAGAAUUAAAAUUUGACACUAGUUCAUAGAAGUGUUAAACCUAGGGAGCACACUCACAAAAGUAGAGGUACACCUUUGUGGCUUUUGUGGUUUUGUUCCAUAUAAUUUCAUAGAAAUUAAUGAACUUGUAAUUGAAUUCAUAACCAGGAAAGUAUAUAUGAAUUAACUAUAGGUAUAGUUGGUACACUAGCAAAAGCAGAUAUCAUGUAUAUUAGGAAAUUACAUUAUAACUUAGUCGAGACUUUGGUACUCAUUUGGUUAGGGAGUUGCACUAACAUGAGUAGAUAGGGAUUCCAAUACCUAGGGAGUUUUCUUUGACAUUUGUCUAUCCAUUUGUAGGUUAGUUUAUUGUUUUUAAAUUUGUUGAUAGUCUAAAUAAUAGAGAAGGUUUAGUAGUGUCGGUAGUUGUCCAACUGCCUAGUGGGUUCGAUUCUUAACCCUAUACUCGCUAACGACCUAUGUACUUGCAGAAAAUCACAUGUAGGGUAUUUAAGAAUUUAUAAAUUUAAAACUUAACUGUAGAUUGAGUUUAAUUGUUAUAUGCAUAGCCCGCGCUCAUCACCUAGCAUGUCCAUACAUGUGAUUUAAUCUGUCCAAACCCCUAGUUCUUACUAGUGUAGCUCAUGAACAGCACUAUGGCUGUAUAGAACAGUAUUGCAGACCAUGCCAAGACUCAAGAUUGUUCAUUAUUUAAAGAUAGGAAACGACGAUCCCAAAAGGACAGAGAUGGAGAGAAUCUAACUGAAGAAUUUCAAGUGACAUCUAAUCUGAGUGAAUUUGAAAGUCAGUAAUUUUAAGCUUUAGAUUUUCUCCAAUUAGUCGGUGGAUUAUCAAAACAACAUUAGAGGAUUUGGAUAGGGAUUUGAUAUUUAGAUAUAUCCAAAUCCCUGAAUCCAAAUGAGUGAAAUGACCCUAGCUUAAUUGACAUUGAUUAUCUCAGAUUACACAUAUUGACAAUAUUAUAUCAGGUUCUGAAAUUUGCUAAUCUCUAGUAGGUUCUAUAAUUCACGAAAAUCAAACAUUGUAAUUCAUCUACAGCCAAAAAUUAUCAUACAUUGUAUAAUUCUAUUAUAAUAUGGUCCCAAUACACAUUACAUGAUCAAUACCAUACAUUUUUUCAAAUUUGAGCUUUGCCAUUGAACCAUUAACCUUCUGGAAUAGUUGUCAGUACAGCCGUUCAAGUCUCUGGUCCGCAUUAGAACUAGUUCGAGGGUGUCUUUGGUUCACUAAUGUUGAACUAGUUUGAGGGUGCCUCUGCUUCACUAAUGUCCGGGCCAUGGAACACAUGGAAGAUGGAACCAAACGUACCUAAAGUCCAACUAAACGGGCAAAAAAAUUAAGGCUUCACAGUCACAUAGCCGGCCUCCUGUCUUCUUGUUGCCCACAUACGUAAUAUUUUAUUCUUUUGUUGUCUAGCACUGCUUGUCCUACAUUCACCAUAUCUUCUCUAAAAGCGCUAUCCUGCCCAUUACAUGAUGUAAUUAACUGCUUCUCUACAAAAACUUGAACCAAAACAAAUAAAGGGAAAGAGAAGAAAUGGCUGCUAAAUCUCAUGUUCUAGUCCUCAUUUUCCCUCAACAAGGCCACAUUAAUCCAAUGCUGCAAUUUUCCAAACGCUUAGCUUCUGAAGGUAUCAAGUAACGAUAAUCACCUCAUCUUCCGUUCACUUACCAGUGGAAGUUGAAUCCAUGUUGAUCAAGUCUGAGUGCAUUCCUGAAAGCAGUAAUAAUCAAGGUGAUGAGAAUGAAAAACCAGCCGAUGGUGAUCAACAUACCCUUGCAAUUUUUGUUAAAAAUACUCGAAGCUUGAAGUUGUGGAACAUCUGCCACUGAUUUUCCAGAGAAAGGCUUCUUGUGAGCCAGCACAAAUACUUGUUUAUGAUUAAGUUGUGCCAUAUGCCUUAGAUAUUGCAAAACAGCAUGGAAUUCCAAAGGCUGCUUUUGGCACUCAAUCCGCUUCAGUUUGUGCCAUAUACGGAUAUACCAUCAUAUGCAUUUAGGGAAACUGAAAGUUCCUCUGGAAGAGCAAAACUUAUCACAGCCCUCAGUGCCCUCAGUUUCAUCAUUUUUAUCAUCUUAAUUGAUAGUGAUUUUCUCAGCGUCAGAAACAGCUUUCUGCUUUGCCAAUAUUUUGUCUCAUCCCUUCUGACAAAAUCAGCAACACGAUACUGAUGGAGAAAGAUUAAAAUUUAAAUAUAUAUGUCCAAAAAAAAAAUCGCUCAUUAUGAAUGAUUUAGACCAUUGGAUCCAAAUGCAUCUUUCCAAAUAUUGAACUGACUUUUCACAGGACCUUAUAAUCAAAUUUCUUGUAAGUCAUUCAAGCAAUAAAAUAAUGCGAAUGCAAGGAAAGCAAAACGUAUGAUUCUGUAAGAACUGGCUGAAGAACAACCAAUGCUCUGGCUAUGAAGAAAAUUGCUUUCCAGCUGUUUCUAGAGUUGAAAUGCCCUCUUGACACCUUACUACUAGUUGAAAACAAUCAAUUUCACGUUUCCAACGUUCUCAAGAAAUGAGUUACAACACUCCAAAUCAGUCUUCAACACGAAAAAAAAAAGUAAAUUCAUUCCUCUUUUAAGAUGUUAUCUUCAUUCAUGAACCUUCGAGGCCUCAAUUUCCACACUCACCUGAGAUUUUCCUAGCUUCAGUACUAUUUGUCCAAAUUCAUCAUGAAUCGUGCUAGGAAUUUUCGACCAAGAUUGCCUCAAGUUGCUUUCUUAGUUCCUCCCUGUCAUGCAAGAACUUCAACAACGGAGAAUGUAAACUAUUAGAACUCUUGAUGCGUCAAAUGGAGUCCAGGAUUGAAACUUCCAGUCUUUUUUUUUUAAAUUGAAACAAAACUGCAGGAAAAUGUGUACUGAACUUGAAAUCGAAUUUAAAGUUCAUUUCCAUCCAGAAAUUGAAUCAACUUGAGUACAAACUUUAAGUGCAAAUUUGAUUUUGUAGUUCAGUUAUGCCAUGUCCUUUUGAUACUGCAAAGUAGCUGCUUUGUUUCCCUCAUUCUGCUUUAGUUUGUACCAUAUACCAUCUUCUGCAUCUAGGGAUACUCAGAUUUCCUCUGGAAAGGAACAACUUAUCACUGCCGUCGGUUCCCACUACUACUUCAUUCAAGAGAUUUGCCUUGCUUAUAACCUAAGAGACAGGCAUUCAUUCAAGAGAUUUGCCUUCCUUAUAAUCUAAGAGACGGGCACACAUCCAUCUCUACUGAGACUUGAACUUAUCAAAAUCAGAAUUUCAAGAAAGCUGAUUGGCUCUUGUUCAGAACUUUUGACGGUCAAUAAAAUCAUGUUAUUUCUCUGUGCACAAGUAUGCAUGUCUGGAAAUCUUUAUAUCCCUCCAACUACUUUGAUUCCUUGCAAAUCUGUUAAAGGCUUUCUAGAUGACCCUUUACAAUACUAAUCUUUGUUUGUUGUAUCAUGCAUUUUAAACUUGAGGAGGCUUUACAAAUUAUACGUAGAUUGGGUUUUGGGCCUAAUCAAUAAUUUAAUUAAAACCUUUCUAGAUCAACAUUUUAUAUAUAAAGUAAUAGGUGAUGUGCUUUGCACGUGACUAUAACAUCAUAAAAUAUAAUAUUUCUUAUACAUCAAAGUUCAUUGUGAAAAAUUUUAAACAAAUUUAAUAUUUGCAUAUUUUCUAUUUUAUUUUUUAAUAAAUGGAAGGUUUUGAAUCGAGAACUUCCUACUUAUAAUCUCUUCCCCCUUACCACUAAACCCAAUCUUCUCCCUAUUUUCUUUUUUUAUUUAAUUUUUCAUCUUCCUUAAUUAAUUGUUCUUAAAAACUCACUUUCAAAAAAUAAGCGACAAAACUAUUCACUUAUCAUUUAAUGUGAUAUAUAUAAUCAUAUGUAUUAAAUUUAGUUUUUAAUAAUUCAAUAACUUAAUGGAUAAAAGGCUUACAACUAUAGGAUGGCAAUCUUGUCUGACUUCUAUGAAGACAAAACGUGAACCUACAUUUGAAUAAUUAGGAUGGUAGAAAAAAAUGGCUUGUAGACCAUUAUGUUUGACUGCCAGACAUGGAGGAUGAAAGGGUCACAUGAUGUUUAAUGCCAACAGAGUACCACAAAGACCUCAUAUGGUUACUUACACUGUACUGGUUACGACUACGGCUACAUUACAAUUUAUCUUUUAUUUAAAAAAGCUAGGAUAUGAGCAUUAAACUUCUCCCUGUUUUGGUCUUGAACCCAACCUUCUCCCUGGUUUUUUUAACUUAAAUUUUCAUGUUCUUUAAUUAAUUGUCCUUUAAAUCAUUAUUUUAAAAGUAAAAAAAAAAAGUUCGCAAAAAUGUUGUAUCUAAAAAUUCAUAUAAAAUCUCUAGAAAAUUUUUAACAAAUGAGAGUACAUUAAAUAUUGCAAAGGUCUUCACCCUUGUCAGGUUGAACUUAGGAAAACUGAUUCGUCAAUUUGGCGAAGGAUGGUAAACGUGAGCCGACAAGUGGAGCUGUCGAUGUUAUGGGUGGCCAAACAUGGGGCGUGUCAUUUUUGGUACGAUAACUGGUUGGGAAGUGGUGCUUUAUUUCUACAAGUUCCGGUUAUCCCACAUUUAUCAUUCAGAAAUUUCACACUCAAUGGUCACUGGGAUUUGAAUCUUUUAUACCAGACAUUGCCAAGGGAGAAUGUUUUUUCCAUUUUAGAGCAAAUGGUCCCGGAAGAAGGAAAUGAAGUUGAAGUCAUUUGGAUGCCCACAACAUCCGGAAAAUUCUCCCUAAAGUCCGCUUACGGGGAUAUUAGGCAGGCUCGCCCCACGUCUAUGGUAUUUGCCUCUAUUUGGCAUUCCCGCAUUCCUGUAAAAGUUUCAUUUUUCAUGUUGAGAUUACUUCUGGGAAGGAUUCCGAUACCAGAUCAGUUAUGCAAACUGGGUUUCCAUUUACCUUCCAAAUGCUUUUGUUGUUCUGCGGCAUCUGAGGAGUCUAUUGAGCAUUUCUUUUCCAAUGGCCACAUAGCGACGGUAAUAUGGAAUUAUUUUGGAGGUCUAUGUGGAUUGAAUUUUUCAGGAUCUUACUUACGAGCUCGCAUAGUAGGUUGGUGGUUGCGAUCACAUGACUAUGAGCUACGACGGUUUAUUGACCGCAUUCUUCCAAGUGUAGUUUGUUGGCAGAUUUGGAAGGCGAGCAAUAAAGCAAUGUUUGAGGGUAUCCAGAUGCGAUCGUCGGCCAUUUGCCGAGCCAUCUUCGCAGAAAUCCAUACUAUGGUGGGAAUACAGUUCAAAAAAGUUAUUCGACUGCAAUCAUUCAGUCAGUUGUAUGAUUGGAAGAUUCCUUCUGGUGGCAGGGUUGCAUAUAAAGUUAUCCGCUGGGAGACAAAGGAGACAGGAAGGUAUAUACUUAAUACGGAUGGCUGUGCUAAAGGUAAUCCAGGAGUGGGUGGAGGUGGUGGGGUUCUUCGGGAUUCAACUGGCUUACCACUGAUUGCCUUCUCGGCCUACUUGGGAGAAACUACAAGUCUCCGCGCAGAGGCUCGAGCUCUUCUAAUUGGCCUUCAAACGUGUAUACAAAAGGGCUUCGAAGACAUAUGUGUACAAUCAGAUUCAUUAGUUUUGAUUGGGAUCAUUCAGCGUCGUACUCAGUAUCCGUGGCAAAUUCGAAGAGAAGUUAACCAGAUUUGGAAGCUAGUAGAAGAUCCUGCUAGAUUCUCACAUUGCUAUCGGGAAGCUAAUACAGUUGCUGAUGCUUUGUCUAAUGUGGGAAUAUCUCAUCCACAGCAACAAAUCAAGGUUUACGAUACCUUUAGUAUGUUCCCAAGACUGGCUCGUGGAGCAAUCUGUUUGGACAGAUUAGGAAUGCCUUCACUUCGAAAAAUCACAAAUAUGUAAGAGGAAUAUUUUUUUUUUUUUUUUUUUUCUUUUUUUCUUCCCAUGAAUAAAUAAAAACAUAUUUCCAAAAAAAAAAAAAAUAGUCUCUUUCAAUUUCUAAUAUCAGUUUUGAAGACAAUUAAUUAAAAAAAGAUGAAAAUGUAACAUUUUAAAAAAUAAAGAUUUGACCAAAUAUGAAAUAAUUUGACAAAAGCAUCAAUAUUUUGAACGGUAUGUACAAUAUCGAUACUUCUAAUUACUUCUAUUUGUUUUUUCUUUUUUUUAAAGGCAAACAAAUUAUGAUAAUACCACUAAAAUUUUUAAAUUUUUAAGUUUUAAUUAGAUAUAUGAACAAUUUUUUAUUUUUCUUUUGUACUUAGAAGAUCUGAAUUUACAAGCUAAGUAAAGGUUAAUUGUUUGUUAACUAUUGGGUUGGCCCAAUGGUCAAAGUAGAAUUCUUAAAGUUUUCUUCGAUGUCAAAUUUAGGAUUCAAAUCAUGUGCUUUACAAUAAGGGAUGGAAAGGAUGUGAAAAAGGGGUGGAAGGGUAAAAGUAAAAUAAAAUAAAUAAAUAAACUUUGUGCAUAAAUAUCUAUUUCAUGCUCUACCAUUAUUUUUUUUUCAAGUUACUGUAUUUGAAUUUGUCAAUUGCUUGAUGAAAUUCCUCAAUAUGCAAUUAUAUGCAUGUUUUUUGAAAAAUGAAAUAUUUUUUGAUGUCGAACUCUUUGUUUUAUUUUGUGUGUACUGUUUCUAUUAAUAAUGGAGUAUGAAUGAUCCACCACAUAUAAAUUUUUUCUGUCUAACUAUUCAUUUUUUGAGAAUUGAAAUUUCAUUGGUAGAGAUAAUUGAGCUUUUUCUUUUUAUGUUUCCUUUUAAUUUUUAAUUUUUUGGACAAAAUCUAACAUAAAGCACAAAUGAUAAACAUUCUAUUAUUCUAAUAACACCUGGUUCUGGUAUCAAUACUAAUAUUUUUGGAAGAUUUAAAAUUUUAAAUAGGUAGUGACUAAUCAAGAAUUUUUAAUGAAAAUAAAAAAAAUUAAAAAUAGAACGCACAGAGACACAUUGGUUUGGAGUAUUAUAUUUUUUAUUGUCUUCAUAAUUCAAAUUUAAUUAAGAUUAUAGUUUUCUUCCUAACUACUACAAUUAUUGUUAUUAUUGAAAUGCAAUAAAUCUAAAUAUUAGGGAGAAGGAUAUUUUGGACAAAUAAAAACAAAGACAAGAUCCUACUUAGUCUCUAAUUCUUAAUAUUUUGUCUAGUCAUCAACCAUCAUUUUCUUUUAAAUUAAUAUAUAUAUGAUAUAAUGAAUUUUAAUCAUUAUAAUAAAUUAAAAACUGAAAAGAGAAUAAUAUGAAAUCUCAAUCAUCAAUUAAUAAGGGUAUAAUUGAAAUAAUAAAAGUUAACAUCACAAUAAUGCUUUCACUUACACUUCAAAGUAGCAAAAUUCAUGGUAUUUUUUAUAUAGUAAUAAUAAUAAGAGCAAAUUACCCAAUAGCCAUUAAACUUUUGAAAUAGUCGAAGUUUGACCAUUUAACUAUUAAUAGUAUGCCUUUACCCACUACAUUAUUGAAAGUAUAAAUAUUGGGUCAUUUCAUCUGAUUUUAUCAUUAACUUUGUCAAAUCUAACUAUUGAUAGUAUGUCACAUGAAUCGUGCCCUUAAAUUUGACAGAGUUAACGGUGGAAUCAAAUGAAAUGGUUCAAAAUUCACACAUUUAAUAGUUUAGUGGGUAAAAAUAUACUAUUAAUAAUUCGGUGGCUAAAUCUUAACCAUUCAAAAAGUUUAGUGGCUAUCUGAGUACACUUACAGUCCAAAGUACCAAGACUCGUGGAACUUUUUAUAUAGUAAUGAUAAUGUUAAUGAUAACACUAAUCUCAAUUUGUGACAUUAAGCAUUACAAAGUUGAUCAUGGAAAAGAGAUAGGGAGAAUUAUCUUUGUGAGGAGAAUUAGAAAAAACACUAAAGAAAAGAGAAAGGGAGAAUUAGGGUUUCUUUGUAAAUGGUGACUGCACGACCAUCGGACCUUUUUGGCAGUGGAGAUCCUCCUCUCGCAGGGAGGAGUUUUGCAGCGGUGGUUACUACUGGAACGGCAUUGGCAGAUACUCCCUUGGGUAUUGGUGUGGUUUCAACGUAUCGAGGGGAGUCGGCACGGCAUCUAUCCCGACAAGAAUUAGUGUCUCUGGUCGAACCAUUCCAAAACAUGUUAGUCAGGCACUUCUCAUUCAACAAGCCACCAAUGGAGGUCAUUAGAAAGUUUUUUGUUUCCUUAGGGCUCAAAGGCAAGUGCAUUGUCGGUCUUCUUGACCCUAAUCACAUUUUGAUCAGACCGAUGCUUCAAGACGAUUAAACAAGAAUUUUUUUCAUGGUAGACGUGGUUCAUUCAUAAUACACCAAUGGUUGUGUCAAAGUGGUCACUUGAUUUUAGGGCUAAUUAGAAGCUUUCGGUAGUUCCAGUUUGGACGUCUUUUCCUGACCUUCCAAUUCCAUUCUUUGCCAAGAAUCUGAUUGCCAAGCUUGCUGCAACGUUGGGACGGUUACUUUGGGUGGACUCAGUAGCACGUGAUUUGUGUUAUCCAUCAAUUGCACGUGCUCUUCCGGAGGUUGUUUCAAAAGAGCUGGUGAAAAGGGUAUGGAUAGGUGAUGAUGAUUUUGGUUUCUGGCAAAGGGUGGAGUUUGAAAAUUCGCCCUCCUACUACCAAUUUUGUGCCCCCGUUGGCCAUCAUGAGGAUAAAUGUUUUAGGAAGAACCUGUCCCUAAAACCUAAACUGAAAUCUCAGCAUAAAAGACAACAAGAAGGAUCGAAAUUACGUCAAAUCUACAUAUACAAAGUUGGGGAUAAGGGAAAGGAAAAAACAUGUGAUGAUCUGGCAGUCCAUCAAGUGCAGGAAGUGGCGGUCGUUAGCCAUAAAGUGGAGCUUUCCAAAUUUGAAAACACUGAAAAAGAGAAAGAAUGUGUUGAUCUGGAAAUACACAACACCAGGCUGUGGCAGUCGUUAGUCAACAGUUGGUGUCAAGUUUGAUUGUACCUGAAGCUCAGGAUAUGUGUGGGCAGAAAGUUGGAGGUUCGAUGCAAGCUAGUUAUGAGUCGGAAGAUAAUUUGAUGUCGAUGGGUAGAGGUGACGAGCUUCGUGAGGGCUCUCUUGAUCAGAAUGCAGAUGCCGCUGGUGCGCUUGAGCCGAACACCAUGGCACUAGCAAAUGAGCAUGCCUCUCUGCUGGAGGGCUUUCUCACUGAUGUAAAUUUUGAUGACGAGGUGGGGUUGGAGUUGAAUAAUACUUUUGCUCCAUUGCAGAAGCUAUCGGACAAGGUUGAUCCAAUACCACCCCAGGUGUUGCAAUGUGCUCUAUCACCUACAAACCUCUCUCGACAGUCUAGUACUUUGUAGCAGCUCAAGGUUUUUCAAGGAGAGUUGCAUCGAAAAUUGCAGGCAUCGAAAUCAUUAGAGGAGAAAUGUCCUUUCUCGUCAAGAUUAGAUGAAAAGGAUAUUGCACUGUUGAAAAACCUUGCAACUGUGCGGCCAGCUAAGGGUAAAAGAAGAUGCAGAAGUCCUCCAAAGUCUAAAGUGUAGGUUCACGAAUCUUCUCAAGCCUCUUAUGUUUUACGUUCUUAUGUUAAAUUCAAUUAAAUUACUAGUUUGGAAUAUACGGGGACUUCUCGCAUGGACUUCCUUCGCUAUUUGAGGAAGAUAGUUUGUGAUAAUUCGAUUCACUUAGUGGUUCUUUUGGAACCAAUGUUAGAUGUUAAUCAGUUGGUGGAUGUCAAGCGUUUUCUUCAUUUUGAUAAGGCAACAGCUUUUGUUCAAGGAAAAAUUUGGUUUCUUUGGGAGGAUGAGGUUGGCAUUGAAUUUACAAAACACACCAAGCAACUGGUUCACACCAUUGCCACAUUUAGCUCUAGUUUGAGAUGUCAGGGGUGUAUGUGAAGUGCACUAGGGUUGGUAGGAGAUCUCUCUAGAAGGCUAUGGAGUUUCUACGAACUGAUAUGGUUAGUCCUUGGAUGGCGGUUGGUGACUUUAAUGUUGUCUCUUUCACGGAGCAACAAGUUAGCGGUUCUACGGUGAAUAUAAGAAAUGUCGAAGAGUUCAAUAUGGCCAUGUUCAACUGUGGGUUAUCGUCAGUGGAGUUUGAAAGGAAACCUUUUACUUGGGCAAAUGGUUCCAUGUGGCAGCAACUGGAUCGGGCACUAGUCAAUGCUCGGUGGAUGGAUUGUUGUCCGAUCAUGAAGGUUAUACACUUGGCUUGUGAAUGCUCGGACCACUCUCCUCUGUUAAUUAUGUGCAAGGAUAAUAGAGUAAGAAGUUCUUCUUUUCGCUUUCUCAAUGUCUGGAGUAGUCAUCACCAGUUCAUGGGAGUUGUGGUGGAUGAAUGGAAGAAAGCAAUCUCUGGAGUAGGCAUGGUUGGCUUCGCUCAAAAGCUUAAGCUGGUUUGAAGGCGGUUAAGUUCUUAGAAGCAUGAGAUCUUUGGAAAUAUUUUCUCUAGGGUGAAGGAUGCCGAGGAGAUUUAUAAAUUAAGGGAAGCAGAGUUUGAUACCAAUAAAGACGAUCUUUCAAGGUUGAGUUUGAAUGAGGCUUGGGUAGUAUUCUCGUGCAAGCUAGCAUUUGAAUGCGCAUGUUGGCGUCAAAAGUCAAAUGUCAAAUAGCUGAAGGAGAGGGAUGCUAACACAGCAUUCAUUCAUGGGGUAGUCAAGAGCAAACGAAAAAGAAGGAUGUCUCGUGGGCAAACUCUUUAGAGCUCAUUCAGGUGUCAGCAAUAUCCUUUUACUCCCGACUAUUUGAAUCAAAAAGUCGGCCUAUUGCCCGUCAUUUUAAUUUUGAAGACUCCAAAAUGACAGAUGCUAAUAAUGCCAUGCUACUUGCACUUCCUUCAAUGACGAAGUUAAAAGUGGUUGUAUUUUCAACGGACAUUAAUAGCGCUCCUGGACGUGAUGGAUUUGGAGUUGGGUUUUAUCAAUCAUCCAAGAAGAUUUGUUACGGGCAAUCCAAGACUUUUAUAGGGGAAUGGGCCAGCCCAAGUAUUGGCCCGGUUCUCUUCUAGUUCUCAUCCAGAAAAUUGAUGGAGCCAUUAGUAGAAGAACUUUCGCCCAAUUAGUAUAUGUAAUAUGUCCACUAAAAUCAUCUCCAGAAUUCUAGCAAAUCGAGUUGGCAAGUUGCUCCCUACUCUUAUUUCUCUAUGGCAAAUGGGCUUUGUAUUGGGUAGGAGUAUUAUGGAUAACGUGUUGUUGGCUCAAGAGUUGGUUUUGGAUGUGGAUAGGUGACUUAGCACUCCGAAUGUUAUUUUUAAACUUGACAUGGAGAAGGCCUAAGAUCGGGUAGAAUGGUCUUUUCUUAACACCAUGCUGCAGAAGUUCAGUUUUGAAGAGCAGGGGAAUCCUUUAUCCCCAACUUUUUUUUUUAUUUGUAGCAGAGUUUUUAGGAUGAGGGCUUCACCAAUUGCUCUUGGAGAAUGAGCAGUGGUUCUAUGGUUCGACUGGAGAUAAGGUUCCAUAUCUAGCUUUUACUGAUGACACUAUUAUCUUUAUUAGGUGUUCUAAGGGUUGUUUAAUGGUUGUUUGACAGGUGCCGAACCUGUGCAAUAAUAAUUACUAAAAAGUCCUGAAUACCACCUCAAUUAAAUAAUUAUAGAACAAAUCCAAAUACUGGAGCAGGGACCCUAGGUGUGCAAUGGGUUACUUGAUUCACCCUAUUCCCGAAGAGUUUGCUUGAUCCGAUAUACCAGAUUUGUCUAUAAAAAUACUAAUUUUGCGUACAAUGGCAAGUAGGGUCGAUUCCACAGGGAGCAGGUAGGAAAUUAUUUCUUUCCAAAUUAGUAGAACGAAAUUGGGGGAUUUUCAAUGGGAAGCAAAUAAAAAUAAAAUAAAAUAAAACAAACAAAAUUCAAAACUAACUCACAAAGCACAAUUCACUAAAAAUAGCAAAUAACAAAAUUCUACCCAAAGGAUCAACUGCUCAGGCACGGUCCAAUUAAAUGAUCAUCGAUGCAAAGAUAUUUCACCUAUUCAUCACUAGGUUGGUUAUAGUUAUCAAUAAACUCUGACAACCAGUUCUUCCUUACCUUUUCGACAGUCAAGGUACGACCAUUGACUGUUUCCCUAACCAGAUAACAACCUUAGGUACGACCAUAGGAAUUUAAUUACCCAAUUGCAUUAAAGCUAGAAGAACCCAACCCUAACCAAUAAACACGCUAAGAGGGUUUAUUUAAGUUAGAUCCUGCGUUUCCCCAUCAUAAAACCAAUUAUGGUGGUUGCCACGGGGUGUUAACUAAAUGAACAAUUACGGAUUCUAUUUAAUUAACGUGGCAGUAGGCUAUUAAAUUAAAUCAAAUACCCGGCCGUUGAUAUUCAAUUAAUAAAAUACCCAUGAACAAUUAAUUCAGGAAACGCACGAAUAGCAAUUAAUUGGAGGGAAUAAUGAAGUUUCGGUUAGAUCUCACAGAUAUUAUGGACCGCGCCUUCGUGUCAACCUUUGGGUAGAGGAGGAAAUUAGCCGCUCCUCAUCGUGUCAAUCCCGCGUGAUUUAAUUGAAUUCAUUCAAUUAUUCGCCGAAGAAUUGGGGAAAGGAAAUUAAUUGCGGCAACAACGAAGAAAACCCUGCUUUUACAUUCGUUCUAGGACCGCAAUCGCAAAGCAAAAAGCCAACGCGAAUUGUCUCAAAACAAGGGUUACAACCCAGCAGUCAAAUCCGUACAAGACAAAAGCUAAAGGAGAGAAAAUUACGUUUUUCCCGAAAGAGAACAAAAGGAAACUUAAAGCUCAAAUCCAAUUGCGGCUGACGGAAAGCGAAAGAAGAGAAAAAGCAUCUGACCGCUGACAAAACGUAGGAAAAGAAAACUAAGCCUAAAAGUAGCUGAUGUCUUGAAUCUUGCUUUUUUUCUCUCUUUAUAGCCGCCGCCCAAGAAAGUCAAGCAGAAGCCCAAAAACGUCUGGCCCUUUCUUUGCUUUUAAUUGAAGCCUUUGGAGUUUUAAUCCUGUGCUUCUCGCGGUUCACGUGGACCGUAGUCCGGCUUUCGGUUUCGUCCACCUUCUAAGGCGUGGCCACGCUCUGAGACGGAAAGUCUUCUGGAAAUUUACCCGCGAGAUCCUUUUUAAUGCCGAUCACCUAUAAUACAUACGAAUGUGAGAUAUGAGUUAAACCUCAGUACUUAGCACAGUAAAUAGCCGAAAUUAGGCCAAAAUAACACUGCAAAAUGUGCCAAAUAACUGCUCUAUCAAUUCCCCCCACACCUAGACAAUGCUUGCUCUCAAGCAUUUCAAAGCUCAGAAGUACAACCAAGAGAGCAGAGGUCAUGCAGUAGUCUAUACUAACACAAGCAUCUAGGGUCCCUGACAAUAUCACCAAGGGUAGAACACACCGGACAUGUUGUAAUUCAAAGAAUAUAUAUGAAUAUUAGGAGCACUCAAUUCAAUAUCACGGAAUGCCAUUACCAUAGGUUUGCACAUUUAUCACAUCUCCACCACUUAAAAGUGAACUAAACACAUAAAUCAAAGGGACUUUAAUAGGGUUGUAAUGGGGCUCAGAUGAGAGGCGGGUUAAGAAGGUAUAGAUAGGGGGUAAAGUGUCAAGAGAAUGUCUGAAACCCACCCAUAACCACAGUGCUUUACCGGGGAAAUUUCACAAGCAGGGCAGUUUCCAUUUGCUGUACACCCUGUACAAGUGCCCAAAACAAAAUAUUUUUUUUUUUUGGGAACUGCUCGCAAGGCGUGGGCACGCCUUGCAGCCCAUAGUUCUCUGGUCACGAGGUCUCUUCAGGUUUUUUUUUUUUUUAAGGGGAAAGUCCUGUAAAGCGUGGGCACGCCUCGUGAUCCAAAGUCCUCUGGUCACGAGGUCUUUUUCCAAUUUCUCUCCCUUUAUACAAGGAUAACAUCAUAUUGCACCUCAUCUAAAACCACUUGCAACCCCAAAUUUGUUUGCUUUGCACAAAUGAUGAAAUUCAAGCAUCUCUUGACAACACAGGGGUAAACAAGAAAGCUUAAAGAGGUCUUGGGUUAACACACACGGAUAACAACCAGAAACGAAGGACAAAAGCUCAAAUUAGUUCAUUAUUGGGAGAUAAGAUGAGGGCUUGAUUUUUUAGAUAGCUGAAGAGGGUUAAAUCCUAAAUGCCCUUAUCAUUUCAAAUGCAUCCAAUUCAACAAAAAUGUGGCCUAUUGCUGAGAACAACUGUUCAACCUCUUGUGCAAUUCGCAGAUGGUCUAGGGUAGGGGCAUGAAAGCACUUGCAAGGGGCAAAAGGCCGAUUCACCAAGGUGUUAAACCGGUCUUGUUGGGCCUCUGUAAGAUUAGUGAUCGAUUCCCCCCACUCCCCAGGAGACAUGGUGCUCUUAUUCAAGCCCAGACGGGACCGAAUGAUGGGUUGAACCGGGGCUCGUCUUUUCCGAGGUUGGGAGCCAGAUGGCCCAGCAGUAGUUGCCUUCUUAGGAGGCAUUUAGGGUCCACAGACAAAGUAAAUCAGCUCAGAGACAACCAACCAACCACCAAGAAACAGCUAGGGGACCACAGUCAACAAAAUUACCGAAUAUUCCGCAGCUUAACAGCAACUGGGCACACAAUUACCCCACCAAAUAACAACCAGACAACAAACACCAACCAAUGCCCCACUGCUGUCAAGUAGCCGACAACAAUCAAGAAAACAGAUCCAACACCGCACAAAUUGCAAUGAUAGUCGAUAAUAGCCAACAAUUAGUGAGACACGGACCACAAAUGCCAACUAACAGAUUCACCAGAGCCCACAGACGUUCCAAAAUAGAUAAUGAAUGAAGAACAGAACUGACGGCUCUCACUUUCAGAUAACAACCCAAUGGUCCCCCACCCAAAACCAACAAGUAUGUCAACCAGACAGGAGGCAAAAAUUCAGCAAUUAAAAUUCCCAACCGAAGUCACCAAUUCAAAAUCCAGCGGCAAAAAUUGUAGUAGAAUAGAGUUACCCAAAAGCACAAGACCGUGGAGAUAACACGGCAAUCGGGUGAGACGCGCGCGGAAGCACGAGGCUGGUGGAUCAAGUCGCGCGCGGUCUUGGGCGCUGCUGGGUUGUUCCGCACGCGGGUGUGUUGGAGGGCGCAGGUGCUGGUCUGCGCAGGGGCGGUCGCGCGCUGGCUGCGCCCAGAUCCUGUGGUUGUACGCGGUAAGGUCGCGCGCUGGGUGGGUCUAGCCAGGCGCGCUGGUCGCGCGCGCUGGUUCGCGGUGCUGGUCGCGCGAGGUGGAGUCGAGCGGCGGCGGACAGCAACGGAGGGCGGCGGCGGCAGCAGGCUGCGCUGAUUUGGUGAAGGCGACUAGCACGGCGCUGUGAAGCGCGCGGUGGGCUGGCGCUGGAGGAAGCUGUCCGCUGAUGCUGCUGAGGCGCAAAGGCGCAGAGGCGCGGGCGUGCGCGUUAUGGGCGUGCGCAGCUAAGAAAGCCUGCGCGCGCUGCUGGGCUGCGGAUCUGGUGGCGUGCGGUGGCGCUCAGGUGGACAGCGAUGGAAGGCGGCGGCGGGCUUGACCAAAACAAAGAGGAGAAAUCGUUGCAGCGUAGCCGAAAGAAAUUGGGAGGAAAGAGGCUAAGACCAGUCAAAGAAGAAGGGAAAAGUGGAAAAAGAAUUUUUUUUUUUCGCUAUCGGAAAGGUUGGAAGGCGUGGGCACGCCUUGAAGGGCCUAGUUCUCUGACCAGCGCAUCCUAAUGAUGUCUAAACGAAUUUCCGUCAAGGCGUGGGCAUGCCUUAGAACUGCUAGUCUCCAAUUCGCUCAGGGCACCUGGCGCGCUCCUUUCAGGACGUGGGCACGGCUUGGAACCUCUGCUCUUCUGUCCAACACCACAAAAACAGUCAAAACAUUAAGAUAAAACUGAAAAAUCGCAGAGUAAGGAAAAAUAAUCACAACUAAUAUUGUAAUCCUUGGGUUGCCUCCCAAGCAGCGCCUUUCUUUAACGUCUUUGGCUAGACAUGACCUUCAACUGUUUAGACCUCACCACUUGGAUUAUCAAGGAAUAGAGCCUCCAUUUGCUCACUAUUAAACCCUUCAUAAUAGGGUUUCAAACGAUGACCUUUUCUCCGUCUUAAGAUUCUGGAUUUCCACUGCACCAUAAUGAGAAAUAUUAGUAACAAUAAAUGGACCAAUCCAACGGGAACGCAACUUACCAGGAAAAAGCCUAAGUCUCGAGUGAUAAAGUAGGACUUUUUGCCCUACGACAAAUGACUUCCUUGAAACCUGUUGGUCGUGAAAAAUUUUGCUCUUCUCCUUAUAUAUUGCAGCGUUCUCAUAGGCUUCAUUCCUUAGCUCCUCCAACUCUUGUAAUUGGAGCUUUCUAUUUCCUCCAGUCUCCAUAAGGUCCAUAUUACACCACUUAAGUGCCCAGUAUGCUCUGUGUUCAAAUUCCACCGGAAGGUGGCAAGGCUUCCCAAAAACUAACCUGUAUGGGGACAUUCCAAUCGGUGUCUUAUAUGCAGUGCGGUAGGCCCAGAGAGUAUCUUCCAAUUUCACACUCCAAUCCUUUCUAUCAGGCCUCACCAUCUUCUCCAGGAUCGACUUAACCUCCCUAUUCGAUACUUCGGCUUGACCAUUCAUUUGGGGAUGGUAGGGAGUGGACACUUUGUGGAGCACACCAUACUUACGAAACAAAGCAGUGAUCGUCUUAUUACAGAAAUGGGUGCCCUUGUCACUCACUAUGGCUCUUGGCAUUCCAAAACGGACGAAAAUGUUAGAUCUUAUAAAAUCUGCAACCACUCUAGAAUCAUUAGUUCGAGUGGCUUUUGCCUCCACCCAUUUGGAAACAUAGUCAACAGCAAGUAUAAUGUACAAGAAACCAAAAGACGAGGGGAAGGGACCCAUGAAAUCUAUACCCCAGACAUCAAAAAUCUCAACAAAUAAUAUGGGGGUUUGACUCAUUUGGUCUCUUCGAGAGAUAUUCCCACCCUUUGACACUUAUCAUAAAAUUUGCAAAACAAAUAUGCAUCUCUAAACAGAGUAGGCCAAUAAAAACCACUUUCUAGCACUUUACGAGCCGUCCGCUUUGGCCCAAAAUGCCCUCCACAUGCAAAAUGAAUGACAAAAAGUCAAAAUAGAGUGAAACUCACCUGCACUUACACACCUUCUUAUCACUUGGUCCGAACAUUGCCUCCACAGGUAAGGGUCAUCCCAAAGGUAAUGUUUGGCAUCACUCUUUAACUUAUUUCUUUUAGCUUUUGACCACCCUGCGGGUAAUUGAUUUGUUACCAAAAAAUUGACAAUGUCAGCGUACCAAGGUAUUGACGAAUCAAUGGCCAAUAAUUGCUCCUCAGGAAAUGAUUCCCUCAAGGGUAGAUCCUCUUGAUUUGUGAGCAACCGGCUCAAAUGAUCAGCCACCAAAUUCUCAGCUCCACUCUUAUGCUUGAUUUCUAGGUCGAACUCCUGCAGGAGCAAAAUCCACCUGAUCAGCCUUGGUUUAGCAUCCUUCUUCGCCAGCAAGUACCUCAAGGCCACAUGAUCAGAGAAAACUAUUACUUUUGCACCCAAUAAAUAUGACCUAAAUUUUUCUAGUGCAAAAACAACAGCUAGUAAUUCUUUCUCCGUCGUGGAAUAAUUAAGUUGGACUCCACUUAAGGCUCUCGACGCGUAAUAGAUCGCGUGUGGCGCUCUUCCAAUUCUUUGUCCCAACACGGCCCCCACGGCAUAGUCGCUCGCGUCGCACAUGAUUUCAAACGGAAGGCUCCAAUCUGGGGGUUGAAUGACAGGCGGCGAUGUCAAUGAUUUCUUCAGUUUAUCAAAAGCCACCUUGCAUUCAUUUGUGAAAUCAAAUGGCACGUCCUUCUGCAAUAACUUGAAUAGGGGUGCUCCUGUCUUUGAAAAGUUUUUGAUAAAUCUCCUGUAAAAGCCUGCAUGACCCAAAAACGAACGCACUUUCCGUACACACACGGGGUAAGGUAGAGCAGAAAUAAGGUCUAUUUUAGCUUUAUCUACCUCUAUGCCCUUAGCCGAUACGACGUGCCCUAAGACAAUGCCAUGUUCUACCAUAAAGUGACAUUUCUCCCAAUUAAAUACCAAAUUCGUCUCUAUACAUCUUUUCAGAAUUAAAGCCAGAUUCUCAAGGCAUUCAUCAAAACUGUCCCCAUAUACACUAAAAUCAUCCAUGAACACCUCGAUUAUUUUUUCCACAUACUCAGAGAAAAUACUUACCAUACACCGUUGAAAGGUCGCUGGAGCAUUGCAGAGGCCGAAAGGCAUCGGACGGUAGGCAAACGUGUCAAAUGGGCAUGUGAAGGUGGUCUUUUCCUGGUCUUCUGGCGCGAUCGCGAUCUGAAAGUAGCCUGAAAAGCUAUCCAAGAAACAAUAGUAAACACGACCUACCAAUCAUUCUACCAUCUGAUCAAUAAAAGGGAGGGAGAAGUGGUCCUUUUUAGUCACGGAGUUUAGCCUCCGGUAGUCGAUGCACUGACGCCAGCCAGUAGCUUUCCUGACCGGGACCAUAUCACCCUCCUGGUUUCCUCCACGGUCACUCCCGCCUUCUUCGGGACCACUUGGACAAGACUCACCCACGGACUAUCCGAAAUAGCGAAAAUGAUCCCUACCUCCAGAAGUUUGAGUAUCUUCUUUUUCACAAUUUCCAUCAUCAGAGGGUUCAAUCUUCGCUGUGCUUGCCUCACCGAUUUUCCAUCAUCCUCGAGUUUUAUCCGGUGCAUACACAAGGACGGGCUAAUUCCUUUAAUAUCGGCUAUGCUCCACCCAAUUGCCUCCUUAUGCUCCCUAAGGAUUCGCACCAGUUUGUCCUCUUGACUUGGAGAUAGGUGUGCAGAGAUGAUCAUCGGAAGUGUCUCCCGGUCUCCUAGGAAUGCGUACUUUAAAUGCUUCGGGAGAGGCUUUAGUUCUAACUCCGGUGCCUGCACAACUGAAGGGAGCAACUUUGUCUGAGCCUCUGGCACAAAAAGAGAAGUAAGUUCAUACCUUGGGGAUACGGGUGGAAGUGAGUGUAAGGCUUCAACGGCAUGGAGCAAAUCUCCCCUUAGGUCCACAUCAGGAGUUACACCCAACUCCAGAUGCUUGAUUAGAGCCAUUUCCAAAGCGUCUUUGUCAUCUAAUUCGAAAAUUUCCUGCACAAAAGGCUCAAUAACGCUCAAAGCAAAGACCGAGUUAGAUUCUUCUGGAUAUUUCAUCGCCUCAAAAAUAUUGAAAUUCACAGUUUCAUCAUCAAAUUCCAUUGACAAAGUACCCUCAUUCACAUCUAUUUUGGUCCUGAUAGUGCUAAGAAAUGGUCUACCUAACAAGAUAGGUGACGGGUUUAAUGAUUUUUCAUCUCCCAUGUCCAAGAUAUAAAAAUCUGCAGGAAAGACCAAUUCGUUUACCUGAACCAAGACAUCCUCAACUAGCCCCUCUGGAUAUGCAUUUGUGCCAUCAGCUAGUUGGAUUAUGAUGGCUGUUUCUUUAAGUGGCCCAAGAUUUAGGGAAGCAAAAAUGGUCUUUGGCAUCACAUUGAUUGACGCCCCUAAAUCUAACAUUGCUUUCCUGAUCGGUGUAUUUCCUAUCUUACAGGGGAUCGUGAACAUACCUGGAUCUCCGCACUUGGGUGGAAGCUUUCUUUGGAGCAUUGCUGACACAUUCUCUCCCACCGCUAUUCUUUCGUCCCCUCUCAAUUUCCUCUUAUGGGUACAUAGAUCCUUGAAAAAUUUAGUAUAUUUCGGUAUCUGCUUGAUUGCAUCCAGUAAAUGGAUGUUAUUCUCCACUUUUCGAAACACAUCUAACAGCUCUUUUUCCUUCUCUACCUUUUUUGUCUUCCCCAACCUGCAAGGGAAAGGGGGUAAGUUAGAGUUAGUAGUGGGUGGAGAGGUGGGGAUUACCUUAGGAUCCUCACGAAUACGUCCUUCCUCCUCAAUUUCCUUUUCUAUCUCCUUCUCACUCUUGCUUUUUGAAUUUCCCUCUUUAGGCCCUUCCAGUGUCUUGCCACUCCUCAGGGUCAUGGCACUUACAUUCCUGGGAUUUACUUCGGGUUGUGAAGGUAACUUUCCAUAAGCGUGGGACUCCAAGCGAUUGAUGGCAGUUGCCAUCUGGCUUAUUCGAGCCUCCAUAUCCUUCAUGCCUGAUUCUGUGUCCUGCUGGAACUGAUUGGUGCUCAUGGUUAAAACUCUAGUUUCUUGCUGGAGUUGAGCCAUAUUUGUGGUCAAUGACCUGGUCCCCUGCUGGAGUUGGGCGGUAGUCGUGGCUAGACUCUUGAUAAUAUCCUCCAAGGAACUCCCUGUGUUGGAGGAUGAGGGUUGCGGUUUCGGUUGCCAUGGUUGCUGAAAUCCUGGUGGACGAUUUGGAAAUGAAUUUUGUUGCCUGUUCCCAUAAUUGAGAUUGGGAUGGUCCCUCCAACCCGGAUUGUACGUAUUGGAGUACGGGUCGUAUUGCCUGCAGGGGGCGGGCACGCCUCCAGCCAUGUUUACCUGUUCCGCCCCGUCCUCUUGCAAAAUGGGGUACGUGUCCGUGCAGUGGUCCAUGCUAGUACAGAUUCCACACACCUUUGCUCGCGGCGUGUCUCUCAUGGCUAAUUCCCUAACAACAGACGUCAAUUCUGACAGUUGCUGCUGUAUGGAUGAAGUCUCUACCUCGUUGACUCUACGGGGGGAGUUGUUCUCACGUAAGCCAAAUUGCUGGGAGUUCUCUGCCAUGGCUUCGAUGAGCUCCCACGCUUCCCUCGGUGUCUUGUUUGCAAGUGCUCCCCCACUCGCAGCAUCAAUGAUACUCCUAUCUGUUGAUUGGAGCCCUUCAUAGAAGUAUUGGAUUAACCGGUUGUUCACUAAUUUGAUGCUGCGGGUAUCUAAUGCACAACUUGUUAAACCUUUUCCAGUAUUCAUACAAGGACUCGCCGGGAUAUUGUUUAAUGCCGCAGAUCUCCUUCCUCAAACUCGCAGCCCGGGAUGCAGGGAAGAAUUUUUCCAAGAAUUUCUUUUUCAACUGCGCCAAUAUGGUAAUACUACCUGCUGGUAGGUAGUACAGCCAAUCUUUAGCUGCGUCUUUGAGAGAGAACGAAAAGGCUUUCAGUCUAAUUUGCUCUUCAGUGACCCCAGGAGAUUUCAUACUAGAGCAAACCACCUCGAACUCCUUGACGUGCUUGUGGGGUUCUUCACCAGAGAAACCAUGGAAAGAAGGUAAGAGUUGAAUCAAGCCCGACUUUAGUUCGAAAACAGUAUUCUCAGCCAAGGCGGGGAAUGUGAUGCAUAAGGGCUGGUGAGUCAGCUCCGAGGCAGCCAGCUUCCUCAAUGUUUGGGUGUUGGCCAUGCUCACUUCGUCUUCCGCUGACUCGUUUGCAGCAAAUAAGUGCCCUUCUUUUUGUCUCUUGGUCUCUUGCCUCCUCCUACGCGCUGCCUUCUCAACCUCAGGGUCGUAUAUUAAUUCACCUGUGCGAGAAGAAUGGGGCAUAAACUAGCAAAAAUACCAAGAAGAGAAUAAAAUAAAAAUAAGACAAAAACUGAAUUUGAAAAGAAACAAAUAAUCCGAACACCAGCUCCCCGGCAACGGCGCCAAAAAUUGACAGGUGCCGAACCUGUGCAAUAAUAAUUACUAAAAAGUCCUAAAUACCACCUCAAUUAAAUAAUUAUAGAACAAAUCCAGGUACUGGAGCAGGGACUCUAGGUGUGCAAUGGGUUACUUGAUUCACCCUGUUCCAGAAAAGUUUGCUUGAUCCGAUAUACCGGAUUUGUUUAUAAAAAUACUAAUUUUGCGUACAAUGGCAAGUAGGAUUGAUUCCAUAGGGAGCAGGUAGGAAAUUAUUUCUUUCCAAAUUAGUAGAACGAAAUUGGGGAAUUUUCAAUGGGAAGCAAAUAAAAAUAAAAUAAAAUAAAACAAACAAAAUUCAAAACUAACUCACAAAGCACAAUUCAUUAAAAAUAGCAAGUAACAAAAUUCUACCCAAAGGAUCAACUGCUCAGGCACGGUCCAAUUAAAUGAUCAUCGAUGCAAAGAUAUUUCACCCAUUCAUCACUAGGUUGGUUAUAGUUAUCAAUAAGUUCUGACAACUAGUUCUUCCUUACCUUUUCGACAGUCAAGGUACGCCCAUUGACUGCUUCCCUAACCAGAUAACAACCCUAGGUACGACCAUAGGAAUUUAAUUACCCAAUUGCAUUAAAGCUAGAAGAACCCAACCCUAACCAAUAAACACGCUAAGAGGGUUUAUUUAAGUUAGAUCCUGCGUUUUCCCAUCAUAAAACCAAUUAUGGUGGUUGCCACGGGGUGUUAACUAAAUGAACAAUUACGGAUUCUAUUUAAUUAACGUGGCAGUAGGCUAUUAAAUUAAAUCAAAUACCCGGCCGUUGAUAUUCAAUUAAUAAAAUACCCAUGAACAAUUAAUUCAGGAAACGCACGAAUAGCAAUUAAUUGGAGGAAAUAAUAAAGUUUCGGUUAGAUCUCACAGAUAUUAUGGACCGCGCCUUCGUGUCAACCUUUGGGUAGAGGAGGAAAUUAGCCGCUCCUCAUCGUGUCAAUCCCGCGUGAUUUAAUUGAAUUCAUUCAAUUAUUCGCCGAAGAAUUGGGGAAGGGAAAUUAAUUGCGGCAACAACGAAGAAGACCCUGCUUUUACAUUCAUUCUAGGACCGCAAUCGCAAAGCAAAAAGCCAACGCGAAUUGUCUCAAAACAAGGGUUACAACCCAGCAGUCAAAUCCGUACAAGACAAAAGCUAAAGGAGAGAAAAUUACGUUUUUCCCGAAAGAGAACAAAAGGAAACUUAAAGCUCAAAUCCAUUUGCGGCUGACGGAAAGCGAAAGAAGAGAAAAAGCCUCUAACCGCUGACAAAACGUAGGAAAAGAAAACUAAGCCUAAAAGUAGCUGAUGUCUUGAAUCUUGCUUUUUUUCUCUCUUUAUAGCCGCCGCCCAAGAAAGUUAAGCAGAAGCCCAAAAACGUCUGGCCCUUUCUUUGCUUUUAAUUGAAGCCUUUGGAGUUUUAAUCCUGUGCUUCUCGCGGUUCACGUGGACCACAGUCCGGCUUUCGAUUUCGUCCACCUUCUAAGGCGUGGCCACGCCCUGAGACGGAAAGUUUUCUGGAAAUUUACCCGCGAGAUCCUUUUUAAUGCCAAUUACCUAUAAUACAUACGAAUGUGAGAUAUGAGUUAAACCUCAGUACUUAGCACAGUAAAUAGCCAAAAUUAGGCCAAAAUAACACUGCAAAAUGUGCCAAAUAACUGCUCUAUUACUGUUCGUGAUUUUUUGGAGAGUUAUCAAUCUUAUUCAAGAUAAAAAAUUAAUGUCAGUAAGAGCUCCUUCAUUUGUUCUCCUCGAGUUACGGCUGAGCACUUAUCUAUGGUAUCUUUGAUCCUUCGAUUUCGCCAACAAUCUUUUCCAAGGACUUAUUUAGGUGUUCUGAUAAUGAAUGGGUGAUUAAGAUAUAUUGUGUUUGAUAGUCUUCUUUCUAAGUUUUGGUAGCUUCUCUUUCAUUGGAGUUCCAAAUUGCUCAGCAUGUGAGGCAAAAUUGUCCUCAACCGACAUAUGUUGAGCUCUCUCCCAACGUAUUUGUUACAGGUGGUACAUCCUCCUAUGGUAGUUUUAGCAUCAUUGGGGAUAAUUUGUAAUUCUUUCUUAUGGGACCAAAAUGGGGAGUCAUAGCGACUUCAUUGGGCUGCAUAGGACAGGUUGUGCUACCCUUAGUAGGAAGGGGGUUGGGGUUCCAAUCCUUCUUUUAUGUUUCGCGUGUUUUCACCUGUAAACUCUGGCAGUGUCUAAGGAAGCAUGAGUCAGUUUGGUCCAAGAUUAUGCAUAAAAAAUAUGUUAGAGGAGUUCACCCUUCGAUGGUGGUAGUCAAUAGACCUUCCGCUCUGUGGAGACGCUUGACGUGCGCAGGGUAUACAUAUACAAUUAGUUCAUCGAAAAUCAAGUUUUGCAUUUAUAAAUUCUAAAUACCCCACACGCGAUUUUUUUGCAAGUAUAUGAAUCGUGAACGAGUAUAAGGUAUUAAAGGUCGAUCCCAUAGGGAAGAUUUUCAAUUACCAGUGUUUUUCGAACUCCUUUAUUAUUUAGACUAUUACAAGUAUAAGAAAUUAAAUCUACACUAUAAAAGUGAUAAAAAUAUAUUAGAAAACUGCUAGAGGUAUGGAAUUCCUUACUUGCUCUGUUUUUUUGUCCAAAUUUAACUUAUAUUUUCCUGAUAAUAGAGGCCGAAUUAACUCUUGUGUAAAACAUGAAAGUUGUAUGUCUUUGAGUUAGCUUUCAAUGCAUCAAGAAUUGGAGCUCUAUGGAGUGCAAAAUAACCAAAAUACCCUCAACUGGUCAGGGCUCUGUUUCAACUUUUGACAACAGAGUUGCACUUCUGUAUUUUGACUUUUUAACUGUGAAAAAGACUGAACUGGAUUUCGAUGCCUUCAUACCAAAUGUAGAUCUAUAUCUUAGUUUCAAAAUGAUUUAAGAAUUACCUCAAUACAAUACUUGUAGUUCAAGAUACAGCUGAAAUACCACAAGGUGUCAAAACUGUGAAACUUGCUUCCUUUUUUUCUUGAUUGCAUUUCUUCUCUUGCACUUCAUAUUCUCUUUUUUAUCGCUUUAAACCAUCAUCAAUCAUCCAAAUAGCUUCUCAAAUCACUCCAUUUGAUGAUUGAAUAAUUAAACUAUAAAAACAUGAAGUUUUUACCAUAAAAAUCCAUAGACAUGCAAUUUUUAUCACUUAAACCACAAAAUACAUAUUUUCACUAGAAACUUAGUUAAUUAGCUAUAAAACUAAUUAAAACACACCAACAACUAACUAAUAAAACACACUAAAAAAUACGUAAAAUAUACACUUAUCAACGCCUCUAGGAAAUUCGCCUCAUUGUGGAGAGUCAGAUACGUUGGUUUUUAGGUGAGGGGUUGGUUGAUGGUGUGGUGCUUGGUGCUUCGAUCAGCCUUUGAUUAAGUUUAUAGGGGGUGCGGAAACUCCCCAUAUGCUCGUGGGGGAGUUCUAUGGCUCUCAAGGUUGGAAUGAACAACGGCUUCGGCAUUGGCUAUCUCCGUCCCAGGUUGCUCAUGUUCUAAAAAUUCUUUUUCGAGGCAUUAGGAGGACCGAAUGGUGUGGGCUCUCUCCCUCCAGGGAAUUUUCUAUGUCAUCAACCUGGGAAGAGAUUCGCUAGAAGAGGAGCUUAUUAUUGGUUGACAAGUUUAUGUGGAAUCCGAUUACCCUGUUAAAGAUCUCCUUCUUUGCCUGGUGACUUGUGCACUGAUGGCUUCCUAUGGAUACAUUAAUUCAAGGGAGAGGUGUCAGGUUGGCAUAUAGAUGUUACUGCUGCUACAAGGAGGUCGAAUCGAUUGACCAUUUGUUUGUGGUGGGCCUCUUGGUGAUAACAGUGUGGUCUUUCUUUGCUUGAUAGUUUGGGUUAUUGAACUUGAAGAGUACGGGUGUUUCAUCGAUGUUAGUAGAGUGGUUCUCCUCACAUAAUUCUGUCUCUUCGAGUCAUGUUUGAGUAGUGGUUCCUCUACUCAUUCUCUAGUUUAUUUGGAAAGGCCGGAAUCAAUCUGGAUUUCAAGGUGUAUCAUUUUUGGAUUCCGAGGUGAUUGAGCAAGUAGAGUGGUUCAUUAAGCAAUUGGGAGCAUCUAGGCUGCUUCGAGAGAUGCACUUUAGAGGGGAUUGGGAUCAUCCAUGGAGCGUGUUGGCUCGGACGUGUGGUAGCAAGCGCCAUUUGAUGGUUGUCGCCUAGGCACCACCACCUUUCAAUGUUGUUAAGCUGAAUACAGAUACGAGUGUUUCUUCUUUUGGGGCGUUUGGCGGUGGAAUUCUGCAAGAUCAUAAGGGUAAAUUAGUCUUUGCCUUUUACAAGGAGUUUGGGGAAGCAAAUGUACUUAUGGUAGAGGCUCUAGCUCUUUGGUGGGGUUUACAUUUUGCCAACAUAAGGGUUGCACGCAAUUCAUCGUAGAAAUGGACUCGCUGUCUUUGGUUUCGCUAGUUUCUUCAGAUACAUCAUAUAUAUAUAUAAUAAAGUCGUAUUCUCAUUUUUUUCCCCUUCAUGUUUUCUCUUUCCUACGUGGUUUGCUCCUUUUUUGUUUAGAUAUAUAUCAAUUCUUAUUUCCUAUAAGAAUUUUUAAUAUUAUAUGAUUCUUAUUUCCUACCCAAAAAAGGAACUGGAAAGUAAUGCGAUAUAAAUAAAAGAGACAUAAAUAUCUCUAUCAGAUAUAUCUCCAAAUUCAUGCCAAUAAUUUGUGUACUGCAUAGGGAACCGAAGUAAAUAAGAAUUGUUAUCAUUAUAAGAAGUAGAAAAGUAACUAAUUGCAAAAGGAACCAUUAAUAACAGAAGUCAAUAUCUGAUGUUGGAAAUAGGAUUCUUAAUAAAUUUGAUUAUUAAGUGCGUUAUCAAGACAUAGUGCAUAGCACGAAAUUUAUGAAAAAGAAAAAGUUAAUUGAAUUCAAUUAACUACAUGUAUUUGACCCGUACGGUCAAAUAUAAAUUCCUAUUUGAGUACGGGUUUGUAAAUUUCUAUAAACCCAUUCGUUGUUAAUCAAAACAUAUAGGUUAUACUCAUUGCUAGGUUACAAGAUUCACAAUACAUCUUUGCUCAGACGGUAGGGAGUAUUUAGUGUAUGGACCCAUACCAUAGGAGUCCAUGCACUUAAAGGACUCGAUAUAGUUGACGUGGUUUUUCAAAAUAGGUAAAAUCUGUCUUGAGAACGCACUUUUAUUUCCUAUAAGAAUUCUUAAUAUUAUAGGAUUUUUAUUUCCUACCCAAGUUAUGUACUUUAAACAACUCAAAUCAAGAUAAACCUACUUUUAAUGUUCUUAUCAAUAUCUCUUUAUAUUUUUAUCAAUUCUUAUUUCUUAUGCCUACACUACAUAUAGCCUCUAAUAUAUUGAUUUCAAGCAUCAAAUUCAUGGUUAGGUAUUUUCAGUGCAAGCAGUUGGCACAUUAAAGCAUCGAUUUUGGGUUUCCACUCCUCUUGAUUAUCAGGUACAUCUUCUUUCAAUACAUAUUUUUUUUUUAAUAAGGCAUGUUGAUUUUCAAUUGUAAAAGUUUAGUAACAUAUCUUGAAUUUUGUUUUUUUUAUUUUCUGUUUGUUUUUUUAUGAACACAUAGGAUUAGUAAUAUAUCUUGAAUUAGUAAUAAAUUUCUCUUAUAUUUCACAUAUUAUAUCUCACAUAAUAUUUUUGCCUUUAAUUUUGCCUUUAAUUUUGAUAAAUUAUUAUCAGAUUGGUGGAACCGACAACCAAUACCAACCUGAAUCAUCUUCUUCCCAUAUCCCAAUUAGUAUAACAGAUGAUUCUAAUCAACAACAUUUCAAUACACUUCAUAUGAAUCAUUAAUCAGAGGGUUCAACAAAAAUUACAGAGAAAGGGAAUCCUUAUAAAAAGAUUUGCAUGAGAAGGUAGAUUUAAUAUACUAUUUUACUUUCUUAAAUUAUAAUCUUAACGUAUUGUUAUACACAACUUUGAAUGCGAUAAAUCGUUUAUUUUUUUUAUACAUAGUUAUCCUGCUUUGCUAUCAUGCAGUGAUAAUGGAAAAUCAAUAAAUGCUGAUUUGCACGGACAAAUCGAGGAGAAUGUUCAAACAGAAGAAAAAUAAAAAUAAGUUUCUGAAGAGUAGAAUAUUAUUUGAUACUAUUUACUGCACUUUUUAUUUAUUUUCAAGUUUUUUGAAUGUUAUGGUAUUGUCGAAUGUUAUUUUUCCAUUUUGAACUAUUAUUUACUGAAUUAGAUGUUCAAAUUUAUAUUGGCAGGUGCCGAACCUGUGCAAUAAUAAUUACUAAAAAGUCCUAAUUACCACUUCAAUUAAAUAAUUAUAGAACAAAUCCAAGUACUGGAGCAGGGACCCUAGGUGUGCAAUGGGUUACUUGAUUCACCCUGUUCCCGAAGAGUUUGUUUGAUCCGAUAUACCGGGUUUGUCUAUAAAAAUACUAAUUUUGCAUACAAUGGCAAGUAGGGUCGAUUCCACAGGGAGCAGGUAGGAAAUUAUUUCUUUCCAAAUCAGCAGAGCAAAAUUGGGGGAUUUUCAAUGGGAGAGGAAUAAAUAAAAUAAAAGUAAAAUAAAAACAAAGCGAACUAAAUUCAAAACCAACUCACAAAGCACAAGUCACUAAAAAUAGCAAUUAAUAAAAGUCUACCCAAAGGAUUAACUGCUCAGGCACGUUCCAAAUAAAUGCUCAUCGAUGCAAAGAUAUUUCACCCAUCCAUCACUAGGUUGGUUAUAGUUAUCAAUAAGCUCUGACAACCAGUUCUUCCUUACCUUUUCGACAGUCAAGGUACGGCCAUUGACUGCUUCCCUAACCCGAUAACAACCCUAGGUACGACCAUAGGAGUUUAAUUAUCCAAUUGCAUUAAAGCUAGAAGAACCCAACCCUAACCAAUAAACACGCUAAGAGGGUUUAUUUAAAUUAGAUCUUGCAUUUCCCCAUCAUAAAACCAAUUAUGGUGGUUGCCACGGGGUGUCAACUAAAUGAACAAUUACGGAUUCUAUUUAAUUAACGUGGCAGUAGGCUAUUAAAUUAAAUCAAAUACCCGGCCGUUGAUAUUCAAUUAAUAAUAUACCCAUGAACAAUUAAUUCAGGAAACACACGAAUAGCAAUAAAUUGGAAGAAAUAAUGAAGAUUCGAUUAGAUCUCACAGAUAUUAUGGACCGCGCCCUUGCGUCACCCUUUGGGUAGAGGAGGAAAUUACCGCUCCUCAUCGUGUCAAUCCCGCGUAAUUUAAUUGAAUACAUUCAAUUGAUUGCCGAAGAAUUGAAAAAUCACAAGAGGAAUCUCACGGAAUUUAGAAGAGUCAAAAGCGAAAAGUAAAAAGGGUCUCCGUUGUACAGAGCCCAGAUGCAAUCCGCAAAAUAUCCCAAUGUCUGGCCGCUUGCCGCCGCCGAAAACCAAAGCAAAGAAAAAGCCAGGACAAAGCGUCUGACAAAAAGUAGAAAAAGAAAAAUUAAAGCUAAGGCUAAAAAGUUGUUGUCCCAAUCUUGCUUUUCUUUUCUUUAUAUAGCCGCCGUCCAAGAAGAGUCAAAGAAGGAAACGUCUGGUGCAAUUGAUUCUACAAAAGCCAUUUCCCUUUUGGAGUUUUGAUCCCAUGCGCUUGGUCCACAUGGACCACGGUCCGUCUUUCGGUUUCGUCCACCUUCCAAGGCGUGGUCACGCCCUGGGACGACAAGUCUUCUGAAAUCUACCCCGCGAGAUCAUUUUUAAUGCCGAUCACCUAUAAUUCAUACGAAUGUGAGAUAUGAGUUAAACCUCAGUACUUAGCACCGUAAAUAGCCAAAAUUAGGCCAAAAUAACACUGCAAAAUAUGCCCAAUAACUGCUCUAUCAAAUCCCCCCACACCUAGACAAUACUUGCCCUCAAGCAUUUCAAAACUCAGAAGUACAACCAAGAGAGCGGAGGUCAUGCAGUAGUCUUUACUAACACAAGCAUCUAGUGUCCCUGACAAUAUCACCAAAAGUAGAGCACACCGGACCUGUUGUAAUUCAAAGAAUAUAUAUGAAUACUAGGAACGCUCAAAUCAACAUCACGGAAUGCCAUUACCAUAGGCUUGCACAUUCAUCACAUCUCCACCACUUAAAAGUGAACCAAACACAUAAAUCAAAGGGAUUUUAAUAAGGUUGUAAUGGGGCUCAGGUGAAAAGCGGGUUAAGAAGGUAUAGAUAGGGGGUAAAGUGUCAAGAGAAUGUCUGAAACCCACCAAUAACCACAGUGCUUCACCGGAGGAGUUUCACAAACAAGGCAGUUUUCAUUUGCUGUACCCUUUGUACAAGUGUCCCCAAUUUUUUCUCUUUCUCUCUUUUUUUUUUUUUUGAUUGAAUACUGCUCGCAAGGCGUGGGCACGCCUUGUAGCCCAUAGUCCUCUGGUCACGAGGUCUCUUCAGGAUUUUUUUUUUUUAAGGAGAAAGUCCUGUAAGGCGUGGGCACGCCCUGUAAGCCAAAGUCCUCUGGUCAGUGGCCUUUUUCCAAUUUUUCCUUCUUUAUACAAGGAUAGCAUCAUAUAGCUCCUAAUCUAACAGCACUUGCAACCCCAAUUUUGUUUGCUUUGCACAAAUGAUGGAAUUCAGGCAUCCCUUGACAACACAGGGGUAAACAAGAAAGUUUAAAGAGGGCUUGGGUUAACAAACACGGAUAACAACCAGAAACGAAGGACAAAAGCUCAAAUUGGUUCACUAUUGGGAGAUAAGAUGAGGGCUUGAUUUUUUUAGAUAGCUAAAGAGGGUUAAAUCCUAAAUGCCCUUAUCAUUUCAAAUGCAUCCAAUUCAACAAAAAUGUGGCCUUGACAUGUAUAAACUAGCAAGUUCUAGAAUGCCAAUACCAUGUGUGAUACCCACUCAAUCAAACAAAAAUAGAGCAAACAAGAAUAAUGUGCUCAUAUAAGGCUCAAAAGCUCCCCCAAAAGUUACAAGAAUGGGUCAAUUCCAGCAUUUUCAACAUUCAACGACACUGCCAAGGGAAACAAAAUGCACAGCUAGUAUAUUCGACCACAUACCCACUCACUUUGAUUGUAUCAUUCAUCACAGCAACAUGCCCUAAUACUAACAAGCAUAGAAAUAGCCAAAAAGCUGCCUAACUACAAUGUUUUAUUUUUUUUUCCAUUUUGUUUUUUUUUGUUUUUGUUUUUUUUUGUUUUUUUUUUUAGUAACAAAGAAAGAAAAUUAAUAAUAAUAAUAAUAAUGGAAGCCAUUAAUCCCCCCACACCUAAAACCUACAUUGUCCUCAAUGUAGAAAAGACAAAUGAAGUAUUAGGGAAAAAGAAAAGGAACUUCCCUGACCACCGGGGAGAGAAAGUGAGACACUAAGGCGGAGGAGGUGAGACGGCUGCGUGUACAAGGUGGUGUGGUGGCGGCGGACGUAACACCAACAGGAAGGAGAAGACUGAAGUUUCUUUUUCGGAAGGGUUGGAAGGCGUGAGCACGUCUUAGAAGUUAUAGUCGUCUGACCGUCAAUUCCAAAACUCCAUUCCUUAGGUGUGAUGACCUAGCGUGGGCAUGUCUAGCUGCCAACUUCCUGUCACAAAAUAACAACCCACUAAAUGACACUAACACUUAACAAAAACUUCAAAAAUAUAAGAAAACUAAAACAAAAGAAUCCUUGGGUUGCCUCCCAAGCAGCGCCUUUCUUUAAUGUCUUUGGCUAGACAUAGCACCACUCUUUAGUCUGGAUGUAAUUGAAUUUUCCUUGUAAUUGGUGGCCCUCCUCCAGGAUCCACAUGGCCAUUGAGUGCAACUUUUUUCCUAAAUUUUCUCUCCAUUUUUACCUCAUGAAUUGCUUUCAUCCAAUAGGACUUGUUCGCAACAACCUUGGGUUUACCCCUAUAAACAAACUUAGAAAAUUCUUGCACAGAUGGAUUAGUGGUGUACAUAGCAUUACCCCUAUAAGCAAACUUAGAAAAUUCUUGCACAGAUGGAUUAGUGGUGUACAUAGCAAACACAGAAUGAGAGUUAACAGGAUGUUUCAUUGUAUCAAAAAUAUUAAAGUGGACUAUUUCUCCAUCAAAUUCCAUCGUGAGAGUACUCUUACUAACAUCAAUUUUAGUCUGGGCAGUACUCAAAAAUGGUCUUCCUAAUAUAAUGGGUGAUGGAUUUGGGGCACUUCUAUCAUCCAUGUAAAGCACAUAAAAAUCAGCAGGAAAAAUUAAUCCAUCUACUUGCACUAAAACAUCCUCAACUAUCCCAUCCGGAUAAGCACAUGUACGAUCAGCCAAUUGAAUUAUUAUCCCCGUUUCUUUUAAAGGUCCUAAAUUUAGGGAAUCAUAGAUUGAUUUAGGCAUCACAUUAAUAGAAGCCCCUAAAUCUAUCAUGGCAUUUUUGAUACUAGAAUGGCCAAUCUUACAGGGGAUAGCAAACAUACCUGGAUCUCCGCAUUUGGGUGGGAGUUUCCUUUGAAGUACAGCUGAUACAUUCUCUCCUACCAUCACUCUUUCAUCACCCCUUAGUUUUCUUUUGUUAACGCACAAGUCUUUCAAGAACUUUGCGUACUUGGGUACCUGCUUGAUCGCGUCCAAUAGGGGGAUGUUUACUUGAACUUUGCGGAACACAUCCAGGAUUUCUUUUUCCUUUUCUGCCCUCUUUGUCUUUUCCAACCUGCAAGGAAAAGGAGCUAUAUUAGAUUUAAUAGGGAUCGAAGGAAUAGAUGUUACCUUAGGCUCUUCGCGAAUGCGCCCUUCCUCUUCAAUCUCCUUUUUUAUCUCCUCCUCACUUUUGCUUUUCGAAUUUACCACUUUAGGUCCAUCCACCUCUUUGCCACUCCUUAAUGUCAUGGCACUUACAUUCCUGGAAUUUGCCUCGGGUUGUGAUGGCAAUUUUCCAUAGACGUGGGACUCCAGGCGGUUAAUGGCAGUUGCCAUUUGAUUCAUUCAAAUCUCCAUGUCCUUCAUGCCUGCUUUGGUGUCCUGUUGGAACUGAGUGGUGGUCGUGACGAGUUGAGUGAUAGUGUUGGUCAAACUCUUGACAAUUUCUUCCAAAGAACUCCCUGAACUUGAGGACGAGGGUUGAGACUUAUGUUGCCAAGGUUACUGAAAUCCUGGAGGCCGAUUGGAGAAUGCAUUUUGUAGCCUACUACCAUAACUGAGAUUGGGGUGAUCUCUCCAACCCGGAUUGUACGUGUUGGAAUACGGAUCGUAUUGCCUACGAGGCGCGGGCACGCCUCCAGCCAUGUUCACUUGCUCAGCCCCAUCCUCUUGCAAUAUAGGGCAUGAGUCAGUAUGGUGGCCCAUAUUUGUGCAGAUUCCACAGGCCUUUGCUCGCGGCGUGUCUCUCAUGGCUAAUUGCCUAACAACUGACGUUAAUUCUGACAGUUGCUGCUGUAAGGAUGAAGUCUCUACCUCGUUGACUCUACGGGGAGGGUUGCUCUCACGUAAGCCAAAUUGCUGGGAGUUCUCUGCCAUGGCUUCGAUGAGCUCUCAUGCUUCCCUCGGUGUCUUGUUUGCAAGUGCUCCCCCACUCGCAGCAUCAAUGAUACUCCUAUCGGUUGAUUGGACCCCUUCAUAGAAGUAUUGGAUUAACAGUUGUUCACUAAUUUGAUGCUGCGGGCAUCUAGUGCACAACUUGUUAAACCUCUCCCAGUAUUCAUACAAGGACUCACCGGGAUAUUGUUUAAUGCCGCAGAUCUCCUUCCUCAAACUCGCAGCCCGGGAUGCAGGGAAGAAUUUUUCCAAGAAUUUCUUUUUCAGCUGCACCCAUGUGGUAAUACUACCUGCUGGUAGGUAGUACAGCCAAUCUUUAGCUGCAUCCUUGAGAGAGAACGGAAAGACUCUCAGUCUGAUUUGCUCUUCAGUGACCCCAGGAGGUUUCAUACUAGAGCAAACCACCUCGAACUCCUUGACGUGCUUGUGGGGUCUUCGCCCGAAAGACCAUGGAAAGCAGGUAGGAGCUGAAUCAACCCCGACUUCAGUUCGAAAGCAGUAUUCUCAGCCAGAGUGGGGAAUGUGAUGCACAAGGGCUGGUGAGCCAGCUCCGGGGCAGCCAGCUCCCUCAAUGUUUGGGUGUUGGCCAUGCUUACUUCCUCUUCCGCUGACUCGUUUGUAGCAAUUAAGUGCCCUUCUUUUUGCCUCUUGGUCUCUUGCCUCCGCUUACGCGCUGCCUUCUCAACCUCAAGAUCGUAUACCAAUCCACCUGUGCAAGAAGAACGGGGCAUAAACUAGCAAAAAUACCAAGAAGAAUAAAAUAAAAAUAAAAAUUGAAUUUGAAAAGAAACAAAUAAUCCAAACGCCUACUCCCCGGCAACGACGCCAAAAAUUGACAGGUGCCGAACCUGUGCAAUAAUAAUUACUAAAAAGUCCUAAUUACCACUUCAAUUAAAUAAUUAUAGAACAAAUCCAAGUACUGGAGCAGGGACCCUAGGUGUGCAAUGGGUUACUUGAUUCACCCUGUUCCCGAAGAGUUUGCUUGAUCCGAUAUACCGGAUUUGUCUAUAAAAAUACUAAUUUUGCGUACAAUGGCAAGUAGGGUCGAUUCCACAGGGAGCAGGUAGGAAAUUAUUUCUUUCCAAAUCAGCAGAGCAAAAUUGGGGGAUUUUCAAUGGGAGAGGAAUAAAUAAAAUAAAAGUAAAAUAAAAACAAAGCGAACUAAAUUCAAAACCAACUCACAAAGCACAAGUCACUAAAAAUAGCAAUUAAUAAAAGUCUACCCAAAGGAUUAACUGCUCAGGCACGUUCCAAAUAAAUGCUCAUCGAUGCAAAGAUAUUUCACCCAUCCAUCACUAGGUUGGUUAUAGUUAUCAAUAAGCUCUGACAACCAGUUCUUCCUUACCUUUUCGACAGUCAAGGUACGACCAUUGACUGCUUCCCUAACCCGAUAACAACCCUAGGUACGACCAUAGGAGUUUAAUUAUCCAAUUGCAUUAAAACUAGAAGAACCCAACCCUAACCAAUAAACACGCUAAGAGGGUUUAUUUAAAUUAGAUUUUGCAUUUCCCCAUCAUAAAACCAAUUAUGGUGGUUGCCACGGGGUGUCAACUAAAUGAACAAUUACGGAUUCUAUUUAAUUAACGUGGCAGUAGGUUAUUAAAUUAAAUCAAAUACCCGGCCGUUGAUAUUCAAUUAAUAAAAUACCCAUGAACAAUUAAUUCAGGAAACACACGAAUAGCAAUAAAUUGGAAGAAAUAAUGAAGAUUCGAUUAGAUCUCACAGAUAUUAUGGACCGCGCCCUUGCGUCACCCUUUGGGUAGAUGAGGAAAUUAGCCGCUCCUCAUCGUGUCAAUCCCGCGUAAUUUAAUUGAAUACAUUCAAUUGAUUGCCGAAGAAUUGAAAAAGCACAAGAGGAAUCUCACGGAAUUUAGAAGAGUCAAAAGCGAAAAGUAAAAAGGGUCUCCGUUGUACAGAGCCCAGAUGCAAUCCGCAAAAUAUCCCAAUGUCUGGCCGCUUGCCGCCGCCGAAAACCAAAGCAAAGAAAAAGCCAGGACAAAGCGUCUGACAAAAAGUAGAAAAAGAAAAAUUAAAGCUAAGGCUAAAAAGUUGUUGUCCCAAUCUUGCUUUUCUUUUCUUUAUAUAGCCGCCGUCCAAGAAGAGUCAAAGAAGGAAACGUCUGGUGCAAUUGAUUCUACAAAAGCCAUUUCCCUUUUGGAGUUUUGAUCCCAUGCGCCUGGUCGACAUGGACCACGGUCCGUCUUUCGGUUUCGUCCACCUUCCAAGGCGUGGUCACGCCCUGGGACGACAAGUCUUCUGGAAAUCUACCCCGCGAGAUCAUUUUUAAUGCCGAUCACCUAUAAUUCAUACGAAUGUGAGAUAUGAGUUAAACCUCAGUACUUAGCACCGUAAAUAGCCAAAAUUAGGCCAAAAUAACACUGCAAAAUAUGCCCAAUAACUACUCUAUCAUAUAUUAUAAGAAUACUUUAUAUUACAAUGCACAUAUAGUAAUAUACUUAAGAAAGGUUAUAAUAAAAUAUAUACAUUAAGUAUGUAUUUCAUAUCAAUAUUUUUAUAAAAUUGAUUAAAUAGUUUAUUAUUUUUCAAAAAUUCCCGUUCAACGAACGGGUACAAAACUAGUUACGUUAUAUUCUGUGAGCUGUUCGUAUUUUGAUACAAGAGUUGGGGAGAGCAUUGGUGCAUAUUUUUCGCGAAACUAACUCGGCUGAAAAUUCGCUAGCUACAGCUCAGUUAGGGUCUAACAAGUCCUUUGCUUCAUUUCCCUCUCUUCCACGUAGAACUAAGGUGGCAUUAGUUCUUAAUGCUCGUUUCUUCCCUUUUAUUAGGCGUCGUUAGUGUCCACAAUGUCAAGUGCUUUCCUUCAGCUCUCUGUAAUUGAACCUUUUUCUUUUUGAUAUGAAUUGAGGAGUGAUGUCCUCCACCUCUGGGGUUAGCCAAAAAACGAAAAAAAAAAAAAAGGUUGAUCAUGAUUAUAGUUAAUUAAUUGUAGGACAUUAAAAAUUAGAGUUUGGUGUGGGAGCUAAUCAGCCUAACCAACGAUUUUAGUUGGGCCAAUAGAUAAUGGAGAUGCAAUCAAACUUUGCUGAGUAGGUUGAAAUGCACCUAAUCAAAGAAUUUUCCAUGUGUCCAAACUCAUAGUACACGCCAGAAAUAUAAAAAUGUCAACUAGCUUGUCGGUUUUGUACGUAUAUUCGCAUCAUACUGAAGCAUGUGACUUAAUUUGUCAAGAUUCCUGACUCUUAGCAUUGUAAAUUUGUAGCUCGUAAAACUGCACCAUGGCCAAAACCAUGGUCAAGUCAACGAAGUUCCCUUUCUGCCCACAGUGGGCAGAAGCAAACGUAGGAGGCCAGCUGUGUUCUCUGGGGACGCGCAAAGAUGAACGAAAAACAAAAUGAUGUAUCGGCACCGGAGAAAGCCAGGCUGUGCGUGGAUGAAAUAAUGCAAUACAUUUUAAAAUCACAAUAAAAACUCUCUUAAAAAUUCGUUUGUCAUUUAAUGCCUAGUACUUGAAAAUAUUUUGUAAACAGUCCAGCCCAAUGAAAGGGGAAGACCUAAAAAGUGAAUGUCAAAAUAAGGUGAAAAAAGGCACGAAAAUGUAGGUGAGAUUAUUGUCAUGAAAAAUGGAUGAAAUUUUUAAUAUUAGUUAGGGAAUUUUGUACAUGUCAAAGCAAAUGUUGUGGUAGGUUUUCUUUUUUUAAUUGAGUUUGAUAUUUGAAAUAAUUUAUGCUUAAAUAUAAAAGGAAGAUUUGGAAACUUAGACAUAGAUUGAAAUAAAGGGAGAUGUGCAAUUUUGGUCCCCUAAUAUUUGGUCUAUGAAUUAAAUUAGUCUUUGAUAUUUUGACAAUAAAUAUGGUCCCAAAAUUUUUUAUUUUAAACAGAUUUAGAACAACUAAUAGAAAACUAAAAUAUCUAAUGGUCAAAAUCAAAUUAGAAUUAGUCAAAAGUUUGGACUUUGUAUAUUUUGGUCCCUAAUAUUUGAAAAUUUGAUCAAUAUGGCCCCAUAUGUUUUAAAUAAUUAUAUUUCAAAUGAAAUAAAAUGUGAAUUAGAUUAAAUGCACAAAAAAAUGUGUUCUAAAAUCUCAUAAAAAUCCUUAAAAUUACUCCACAUUGUCAAAACAUUAUCAUUUAGCCUAAAGAGCAUCCCUUCAUUAAAUUAGUUACAAACAAAUGACAACAAAUGAAUCAUAUAUAAAAAAAAUUAGUGAGAAAAAAGAGAAUUUUAAUUUGAAUAUGUAGUAACUUUAAUUCUAAACAAUAUAACACAAAUCAUUGCAUGACUUAUGGAUCUGAGUUUCAAUUAGUUAUUGUUAGGCAUUGGAUUGCAUUGACAAGUACAGGUGAUUAUCAAUAUGAAUGACUCAUGUGAAUUUUUAAAAUAUUUCUAGCUGUUUCUUCUUGUCUUCCCUUCAUAUUAAAUCAAAUAUUUCAAUAAUACAAUUUAAUGUAUUUAUAUUUACAUUCAUCUGGCGUUGAUAAUUUUAUUGAAUAAUUUAAACGAUUAUAAAAUCUUUAUUUCAAUUGAAACUUAAUUGACAAUUGGGUGAAAUGCCAAAAAAAAAAAAAAGAAAACGAAAAAUAUUAUUUAAUCAACUCAGUGACAUAUAGUUGUUGAUAUUAUAAUAGAAUAUUUAAUUAACUGUUUUCUUUUAUCGUACAUGAGUGUUGGGCAAUAGAUGAUGAACAAAUUAUUAAGAGGGCGUUUCUUGUGAUUUCCAAAUGUAAUGCAUUAUUUCAUCCACGCAUAACCAGCUUUCUCCUGCUCUUGGUGCAUUUUUUUCCCGUCCGUUUUUGUGCGUCCCCACAGAACACAGUUAGCCUAGCUCCUUGCAUUGCCUUUUGCUCAAAAAUCAUUAAAAAUGUUUCUGGCCAGGCAUUAUAAUAUUCUCUUCUACAUUUUUUCUUUAUAGUAUUAUCCUUUGAUUACCUAUCCAAUUCAGCGAAAAUUGCUAGCUCAGAAUCCAAGAAGGAACAGAACAGGGAACACAUGGAUGAAAUUGGAUGUAGAAUUCACGUUCUGGCCAUCCCUUACCCUCUACAAGGCCACCUCAAUCCGAUGCUGCAAUUAUGCAAGCGUUUAACCUCAAAGGGUGUUAGAAUCACGCUAGUCACUAUCACCUCAGCCCGUCUAUCAGUGCAAAAUCAGUUUGAAUCGAUCCAGAUCGAGUAUAUUCUAGACGAUGAUAACAUUGAAGCUGAG
rnacentral:lncRNA from 1 species